rnacentral:lncRNA from 1 species
UUCUUUUUUCUUUUUUCUUUUCUCAUUUUUCAAAUUUUGCUCAAUUUGAGGUGUCCGUCAUAUAAAUUGCCAUGUCUUGACAUUGUUCGAUUAACCUACAAGUUCGACGAUGAGGAGAGAGAGUGUACGUUGCUUAGACAAUCUUGGCAUAAAUUGUUUUUGCUAACGUGACAACAUCUCAAGGUACCAUAUCGACACCAAUAUAGACAUUUAACAAUUAUUUAACAGCGCUAGUCACCAUGUCAACCUUUUACAUCCGAAAUUAUAACAAAGACCUCACUUUAAUCUACAUUUGAAAAAUUGAGGUAAUUGAUUAAACCAUAAAAAGUUCAUAUACUUUAUUACGAAAGGGAUAACAAUUCAGAAACUCACGACUUCAUUGUCCCAAAAAGUUUAUCAUACAAUCAUUGGUCUAGGUUAAAUCUCACAUGUACUUUUGUUUAUGCGAUAUCUUUUCUACAAUUUUAUCCUCUCAAUUCAUUGCUUGGUCUCCCUUUAAUAAUUUUCUUUUGUAAGAUUAUUCAUUCUCUCACGUGAAAGACAACGGGAGAUAUUUUUGUUAAUUUCACACGCCAAAAGAUUUUAGGGGCUAAUCGUCAAGAACAUUCAAAGACUACGAAGUUUGUCAAUGUCCAUUUCGUUAAAUUUCCUUUCGUUUAGACUACUAAGUACUAAUGAUACCUUGGCACAAAAUUAGGUUAGUGCAUUUGACGAUUUAUUUUGUUAUGGGUAGUUAUAUUUGGUUCAAGUAUGCCAAGUUCUAAGGUUUGAGUAAUAUUUGGAAACACUCACUUCAGAAACAGUUCAUUUUAUUCUAAUUCCUAAUUUUUAAUUACAUGUAAUCUGAAUAAAUGCGCCCAAUGUCUUCGUCUGUGCGUAGCAUGUGUAUGAACAUUAAUAGUCUAAUUUAAUUUCAUAUUUCAUAAUCAAUUGACCUCACUAAUUGGGUUCAUAUCUAAAUAGAUUUUUGGAUUAUAUCAUCUGUUUUUUAAAUUAAUAACUUUUAGGAAAAGGGAAAUAUAAUUAUUGAUAGGGCUGAUCAUGGAGGACUGACCAACUUAUUGAAUUACAUAUAUAUAUAUAUAUAUAUAUAUAUAUAUAUGCGUACGUAUUUUUUAAAUUAUAUCUUCCAAUUCAGGAACUCAUGAACAACAGUUGAAAUUGUCCACAACUUAUUGAAUUUUUUCUAUCUUUUUUCUUAGUUCUAUAUUUUUUGAAGCAUGAGUGAGCUAAUGGAGAGAAGAUAUUAUUUAGUCCAGGAAGACCAAGACAUUUACCUACCAAAAACAUUAAACAAAGAUCAAGCCCAAGCCUCUUUUUUUUUUUAAUGCAUCUGUACAUUCUCAGUAACCUUAUAAUUUCAAUAUCUUCGUUUAAUGUGUUAUUGGUGAAUAUGCAAUCAAUGUAAGCUUUUACAUGGCAAUUACGAUGCUAAAGAUUUGUAGCAAGAACGGGCAGUGAUGAUCUUCUAAAGAGCGUUGAGGUAGUAGUUGAUGAUCAAGAACCACUUGAUAGGAGGAUUGUGGCCCUUUGCAUGAUUUUCCUAUUCAUAAGUGUGAUGCCUACAGUAUAUCUGGUACACUGUAUUGUUAGUUGGUGAUGCCUGACCCCUUUUCUUGUCUAGCAAUGAAUAAAGCUAACCAUAAUUGAUACGAUUGACAAAUAAGCAUCUAUGUACUACUUGCACGGACUGAAAUAAAUGUUAACAAUUCACCUAACAAUCACAUCUUACUUUCUAUUAUACAUCUGCAAGUCAUCAAAGACAACUUAUUUUGAUUGUUUGAUAAGGAGAGUAGAAACACGUGCCUUGGGCUAAACAGAAAAAAAGAGUCGGGUACACCAACAAAUCCAUGAAACAAGUUUUCUAAUUUAACCCUAGAAAUAGUAAAUGACUGGCAAAUCACCAACUAAUAUAUCAAGCAAGUUGCUUAGCAAGUUGCUUUGGGCUAACUCUUUCUACUCAAAGGACCACGAUUCUCCUAUCAAGUGAGUCACAAUCAUCACAACUACUUCAGCACCCUUUAACAGGUCAUUGCUGCCCAUUUUGCUGCGAAUUUUUAGCACUAUAGCUGCCACGUAAAAGCCUAUACUAAAAAAAAAAAAAAAAAACCAACAGAAUAUUUGUAAGUUAUAAAUUUUUAUGAAGAUAUGCAUGCCCUCGAAGUUGGUCGUGUGAAGAAAUAUCAUCACUUAUCCUCUGUUUUGGAUGGCCACAAGAAAAGAUUUCUUUAAAACGACAACCGAAAAUCUUGAUAUAGAGAAAAAGGAGAACAAUUGAUUUAUCUAACUCAAGGACCCAAUGUGCAUCAAAACAUGGUCUCUUCGAUCUAACCCAAAUUGAUGGUCGUCAUAGUACACUCAUAAAGUACUUUUCACAGGGAAGACCAAGACUUUACCCAAGAUGCAAAUUGGCUUCAUUACUUCACUUUUCACAUCCCUCUUCUUCCAUCCCUAUGUGAAUAUCUCUAUUUGCAUUACUUGUAAACUUUUCACGCACUACAUGUCUUGCUUAAAAUUAACCAUACUAUAAAUUGGUAUAAGAAAGAAGCUAAGAAGGAACCCAAAAAAUCUCUCCAAAGGCCAUGGGUCAACCAUAGAGAACAACCAAGAGUUAUGGCGAAGCAAAGUGAUAAACGAAGACUUUCAAGGACGCUUUCUAUCCACAAGUGCUCUGUCCAUGUAGAUAAACCACAAACUCAGCAAGACAGACUUUAUUGGACAGCAUGUACUUUUUUGUCUAGAAAGUGAAGCAAAAGCGAAAGAGAGCAAUUGAAAAAAGACAGACUUUGCACAAUGCAAAUUGGCACUGUUGCUCCACUUUUCACAUCCCUCCUCUUCCAUCCCUACGAGAAUGCCUUUGUUUUUUUCAUUACUAGGAGAAUUUCCCCACGCGUUUUAGGCCAUGCUUAAAAUUGACCGUUACUAUAAUUUUCAUCCAACUCUUUUUUUGUGCUAAAUCGUACUGUGAUUUUUCAUUCAAUAAUCUCUUUUGUACUUCUCUAUUAGAAUUAUGUCUACAUUUUCAUGUAUCUUUUCAAAUUUAUGUUCAAUAAAAAAAGAAAAAAAUCAAAGAAAAAAUAUAUAGAAAAACCAACUAGAACUUAAGAAAGGGGGAAAAAAGCAAGAAUGAUGUUAUUCUUAAAGCGAUUUAAGAGUUAAGAAUAAUGAUAUCGAAAGUGCCUAACCUCUUUUUUAGUUUACAAUCAAGUACCUGAAGUCUUUUUCUCUUUUUCAAUCAAGAACCUCAAUUUUUCAAAUUUGGCUCUAUUUGAGGUAUUGGCUAAAUAAAUUGCCAUGUUAUGUAAUAUUGUUGACAUGACUCGUUUACUCAGCAAAAGUUAAAAAUAAUAAUUGACGUGGCUACUUACCCUUUGAUGAGGAGAGAGAAAGUGUGUUGACUUAGAUGAUAUUAGCAUCUAAUAUAUCUCAAUUGACAUGGCAACAUGUCAAAAUUUAGGGUUGAAUUAGUUGUUAUAUAAUAAAUUUAUUGAUUUUUUAGAUAACUUUUCAUAAAGUCAUAUUCAUAUAGUAGUAAUGAUGCUUUCUUGGGACAAGGCUAUAGCACUUUGUCAUCCAUUUAAUUUUGGGUGCUUUUCACGCGCACGUCAGUCAGAGGAAUCAAAAUAAAAUACUGUUUACCCACAAGUGCUUGUUUGGUAAUAUUAAGAGAAUUUCUCCAAAGACUUCAUGGAUACCAUGUGCUUUUUUUUUUUUUCUAGAAAGUGAAGCUAAAGAGAAAAAAGAGGUAAUAGGAAAGAAACUUCAAUAAAUUCCAGAAAGACCAAGACUUAGCAGGACACAAAUUGAAGUUUGUUGCUUCGCUUUUCACAUCCCUUCUCAUGCAUCCCGUGAGAACGUCACUUUUCAUGGUUUACUAUUUACCCAUCAUCCUCUCAGAUGUGGUUCGGCGCUGCUAGCUAAGGGUAAUUACUGUUGCUCCGCCAAUGAUUGUUAAUGGGGGAUAUUUUACUUCGUUUUCUCUUUCUUUCUGAUUUCUUCAUUCAAAAUGAAUUUUGCACCCUAUGGUAUAGUAAGCAAGAAAAAACAUAUUUGGACAUAAAAUGCAAAGCAAUUUCUUAUGGUUAUCUUAUAUGGAAAGUGUUUUUUUUGACAGAGUAUGUACAUAAGAUAUAUUGAGCAACAAACCCCACGAAUGUGUGUUGGGGAAGAUCAGUUAAGGUGGAUUGCAUAGAUCAAAUGCACAAGAAAAUAAUUGCAUUUAGACAUCUAAUCAGCGGGAAUAUAUUACACACACUUCCAUACAUCAUUUCGAGUUGUCCAAUAUUCACAUACAUGACACCUACGACCUAUUGCACAACGUCCAUGAUUUAAUUGAGAUUUAGUUCCUCCACAUUGGUGCAGUUUGUUAACAUUUUAUUCCCAGGGACAGUGCAUCAUGUUGUGAAACAUUUGAAAUGUCCAGGUAAUUGAUUGAAUGAAAAAAAAAAAAAAAAUUGGUAAGAAUUUUCAUGCACCUCAUUAUUUGGUUUUUAAUGUCAAUUUGAUUUUCUUUAGGAAGCCACACAUAUAGAAAGUCUUUUUUUUUUUUGGUCGAAAGAUAUAGAAUGAAAUUGGUUGGGCUCCUUUUAUAGAGUUUUUGCUUCAACCACUCACAUGCGAAAUUGAAUAAGCGCCUCCUCUUGAAUGUCUUUUUCUUUUCCUUAUUUAGGCAGAUCCCAAAUGCUUGAGAUAAGGCGCAAUCAAAUUAUAUGUUUUUUUUUUAUAAGCCAAAAAAUAUUCUCUGAUUUCCUUUGUCAUGUAUUACUACUAGGGGAUUAUAAAUGAUAGUUGUAAAGUUAUAUUCACAUGUCAAAAGCGUUGAAGAUGGGACGAGGCUAUAGCACUCUGUCAUUCAUUUAAUUUUGGUGCUUUUCACUGGCUCUGUGGUGAGUCUUGUAUGGUUUUUUUUUUUUUUAACUUUUAAUGGUCAAUUAAAAUCAAGUUGCUUUGGGCUAACUUUUUCAGUUCAAAGGACCAUAAUUAUUCUAUCAAGUGAUUCAUGAUCAUCACCGACUACUUCAGUACCCUUUCAUCCUCACCCAUUUUGCUAUAAAUUUUUAACACUAUAACUGCCACAUGAAAGCCCAUACUAACGAAAAAAAAAAACCAACAAAACAUUUGUAAAUUAUAAUUUUUUUAUGAAGAUGUGCAUGCCCUCUAAGUUGGUCAUGUGAUCACCUCCUAUUCAAUGUUUUGGAUGGCCACAAGAAAAGGUCCUCUCUUUCAGACGAAGACCAAAAGUCUUGCUAUGGAGAAAAAUGAGAACAAUUUAUUUGUCUAACUCAAGGACACAAUGUGCUUCAAAAGGUGGCCUCUUCAAGCUAACUCAUAAAGGACUUUCAUCGGGAAGACCAAGACUUUAAUGGACAUAAUGUACUUUUUGUCCAGAAAGUGAAGCAGAAGCAGAGAGCAAUUGAAAACAGAUACACUUUGCAGGAUGCAAAUUGGCUUUAGUGCUUCACAUUUCACGUCCCUCCUCUUCCAUCCCUAUGUGAAUACCUUUAUUUUUCCACUACUAGUAGAAUUUUCCCACGCAUUACAUGCCAUGCUUAAAAUUGAUUGCUACUAUAAUUUUCGUCCAAUUCUUAUUUUCAUGCUUAAUCGUAUUGUGAUUUUUCAUUCAGUAAUAUCUCCUGUACUUGUCUAUUAAAAUUGUGUCUAAAUUUUCAUGUAUCUUUUUAAAUUUAUGUUCUAGAAAAAAACAAAAAGAACUUAAGAAGGGAAAAGAAGAAGAAGCAAGAAUGAUGUUACUCUUAAAGCGAUUUAAGAGUUAAAGAAUAAUGAUAUCGUAAGUACUUGAGCUCUUGUUUAGUUUAUGAUCAAGUACAAUAAUAGUUUUUUUUUUUUUAAUCAAGAACCUCAAAUUUUCAAAUUUGGCUCAAUUUGAGGCAUCGUUUAAAUAACUUGUCAUGUUAUGUAAUUUUGCUUACAUGACUCACUUAAUCAGUAAAAAUUAAACAUAAUAGUUGACAUGGCUUCUUACCCUACGGAUUGAGUGAUGAGGAGAGAGAAAGUGCAUUGAUUUAGAUUAUAUUAGCAUUCAAUAUAUCUCAGUUGACAUGAUAUUAUAUCAAAGUUUAAAACUGAAUUAUUCAUUAUCCAACAGAUUUUUGGAUUUUUGGAUAAUUUUUUGUAAAGUCAUAUACAUAUGUCAAAAGUAUUCAAGAAGUAAUGAUGCUUUCUUGGGACAAGGCUAUAGCUCUCUGUCAUCCAUUUAAUUUUGGGUGCUUUUCACGCUUACAUCAGUGGUCAGGGGAAUCAAAAUAGGAUACUCUUUGUCCACAAGUGCUUGUUUGGUAAUACUCAGCAAAAUUUCUCCAAAGGCUUCGUGGAUACCAUAUGCCUUUUUGUCUGGAAAAUGAAGCAAAAGAGAAGAAGAGGUCAUGGGAAAGCAACUUCAAUAAAUUUCGGGAAGACCAUGACUUUACUGGACACAAAUUGAAAUUUGUUGAUUCUCUUUUCACGUCCCUCCUCUUGCAUCCCCACGAGAACGUCUCUUUUUUCCAUUACUAUUAGAAAUUCUAUGCUUUAUGUCUAGAUUAAUCUCUUUUACUUUUUCUUUUUUCAAAUUUGUCUCAAUUUGAGGCGUCCGUUAAAAAAUUGCUACGUUGUAAUGAUUUUAUUUACAUGAUUUGCUUACCCUACUAAUUGGGUGAUGUGGAGAGAGGGGUCGUGUUGACUUAAACAAUCUUAGCAUCCAAUGCCUUUGCCAACGUAGCAACAUCUCAAGAUGUUGUAUUAGACACUAGUGUGGACAUUUAACAACUAUUCACUAGUGUGGACAUUUAACAACUAUUCAACGGCAUUAACGUCCUGUUAACAUUUUCCGUCCACCAAAUUAACAAAGGCCUCGUGUUGACCCACAUGGAAAAUUAAGAUGAUUGAAUGAAAAAAAUUUAGGUACCUAAUUGCAAAAGGGGUAAUAAUUCAAGUACUUGCGAUGUCAUUGUCCCAAAGAGUUUUUUUAUACAAUCAUUGGUCUAGACUCAAAUCUCAAACAUACUUUUGUUUACGCAAUAUUUGUUCUACAAACUCAUCAUCUUUGUUCAUUGCUUGGUCUCCGUUUAAUAAUUUUCUUUCGUAAGAUUAUUCAUUUAUUCGUAUGAAAGAGAAUAGGAGAUAGUUUUGUUAAUUUCACACGCCAAAUAAUUUCAGUGGCUAAAUGUCAAGCACAUUGGAAGACUACAAAAUUUCCCAAUGUCAAUUUCCCUCAUAUUUUCCUCUAGUCAUUUGAUCAUAAAAAUUCAAGCUUUACACUCAAAACUUUUUAGUGAAUUAUCAAACUUUUGAUUGAAAAUAAACUUAUUCUUAGCACUUGAUUUUCAUUCGAUUGGACAUCGUAUUUAUAAUAUUGUCAUCGUAUGUAACUGUACAGAACAUAAUUUAAAACCUUACUAUGAUUUCUUUACCAAUCUCAACUAAUUCGCCUAAACAAUAUUUUUUGUAAAUAAUUUGUUCCAAUUCUUCGAGAGACCAAUUGAUAUCAUCUGGAACGGCGGAUUUGACCCGCAAGAGACAAAAUUGAUACCACGAGGAUCAUAUUUGAGGCCAAUGUAAAUAGUUAGCGGCUACUUAAUAUUGUUGGUGUCAUAUAGAUAGUUUUUCAUUUACUAUCUCAACGGAGGCCUCACAUUGAUUUACAUUAAUAAAUGACAAGGUAAUUGGUUGAAUGGAGAAAAAAAACUUUAGAUAGUUGAUUGCCAGCACAUAGGUAAGAAAUUUCAUGGACCUCAUUAUCUAGUUUUAUUUCAGUCAAUUUGAAUAUUUUUGGAAGCCAUGGAUAUAGAAUGAAAUUGAUGGGUCUCCUUCUACGUAGUUUUUGCUUCAACCCCUUGCAUGUAAAAUCGAAUAAGCGCCUCCUCUUGAAUGUCUUUUUCUUUUCCUUAUUCAGCUAGAUCCCAAAUGCUUGAGAUAAGGCACAAUCCAAUUGUAUUUUUUUUUUUUUUUGUUAUAUGCCAAAAAAUAUUCUCUGAUUUUCUUUGUCAUGUAUUACUACUAGUGAUUAUAAAUGAUAGCUGUAAAGUUAUAUACACAUGUCAAAAGUAUUGAAGUACUAAUGAUGCCUUCUCGGGACCAAAUUAGAUUAGUGCAUUUGACAAUUUAUUUUGUUGUGGGUAAUUAUAUUUGGUUCAAGUAUGCCAAGUUCUAAGGUUUGAGUAAUAUUUGGAAACAAUCAACCACCGAAACAGUUCAUUUUAUUCUAAUUCCUAAUUUUUAAACAUGUAAUCUGAAAAUAUGUGUGCAAUGUCCUCAUCUGGGCGUAGCACGUGUAUGAACACUCGUAAUCUAAUAUUAUUUCACAUUUCAUAACUAAUUGACCUCAUUAAUUGGGUUCAUAUCUAAAUAGAUUUUAGAUUAAAUCAUGAGUUUUUUUAAAUUGAUGACACAUACACACAAACACUUUCGUAGAGUAUCCAUACUACGCAUCGGCUUACAAUUAGUGUGUACGUAUUUUUUAAAUUGAAUCUUUCAAUUUAGAAACUCAUGAGCAACAGUUGAAAUUGUCCACAACUUAUUGAUUUUUCUUCUGUCUUUUUGCUUAGUUCUAUCUUAUUUAAAGCAGAAGCGAUUCAGGAAGACCAAGACAUUCACCCACCAAAAACUUUAAACAACGACCAAGACCGAGCCUUUUUUUUUUCCAUCCGUACAAUCUCAAUAACCUUACAAUUUCAGUGUCUUCAUUUAAUGCGUUAUUGGUGAAUAUGCGAUCAAUAUAGGCUUUUACAUGGCAAUGUCCUCGGGGUAAGUAUGGUUCCAAAGUAGAACUUGGAAUCUAAUAAUCAGACCGAUGGAAACUUGUAGGUUUCGGGUUCCAAAAUAUGCCGGGUAAGUUCCAAGUUCCAAAAAAUGAAGAACUUAUUUCAACGGGUAGUUUCCAAAUUCUUAAUUUUCGGAACCUAAAACUUGGAACCUUGAAUCAGGAACUUGGAACCUGGAAUGAGUUUUAAUAUUUUUCUUAGUUCACGUUUCUGUGCGAUCUUCUGAUAUUUCAUGCUAGUGUAUAAUCUAGAAGUAUUAGUCUGAGUUUAUAUAUUAUGACUAAGAUUUUACUUUAUUAAUGUUCAUAUUUUUUGUAUGUUUAUAUAUAAGCUAUAGUUAGUAAAUUGUAAUCGUUCAAAUAAUAAUAUAUGUGAAACCUAGAUAGACCUUGGAAUCGACAUUGGAACCUGUGAUAGGAAAUGAUCCAAGUUCUAGGGUAUGCAGGGCAGGUUCUAGGUUCUAAAAAAUGAUAAACUUGGAAUUGCUCACUCCUAAUUACAGUACUAAAGAUUUGCAGCAAGAUGGGCAGCAAUGAUCUACUGAAGGGUGUUGAGGUAGUAGUUGAUGAUCAAGAAUCGCUUGAUAGGAGAAUUGUGGUCAUUUGCACAAUUUUCCUAUUCAUAAGUGCGAUGCCUAGAGUAUAUCUAGUACAUUGCACGCUGUUAGUUGGUGAUGCCCAACCAUUUUUCUUAUCUAGCGAUGAAUAAAGCUGACCAUGGAAACAAUGAUUAGCAGAUCCCUACUGAUGUCAUUACCACUUUCUUGGAGUGGUCUCUGAAGAGGCUGGAACAUGUCAUAGCAAAGUAGCAAAGUUGAAUGUCACAUUAGCAAAUAUGUUAGCUAUAUUUUCUUGAGAAAAUUAUGCAAAUGGUCCAUAAAGUUUAGUUAAAUGUGCAAUGUAGUCCUUGAACUUUAGCAUGACGUGUAAUGUCAUUUUUAAACUUUUAAUUUGUUUAAUUUAGUCCCUAAAAUUUGUAUACAUAUUUAAUUUAGUUCUUGGAUUAUCCCUAAACUUGAAUGAAUGAAAAAACGAUAUUGACCAUUUUCAUAUAAAUGAAUUAGAAGAACUAGCAGAAGUGCAUACUAGUUGCAUGUGAAGAUUAACAUCUAAAAGAGUUUGCAAAAUUCAAAUUAUUAAUUCAUAAAAAGUUAUUUACACAAUUUGAGGAAAUUUUAUCCAUGGAUGUUUACAUGGAAAGAGAGAAACAUAUCAAGAUUUGAAUUUUUUGGUAAAAAAUUUUAUAAGACAAAAACUUCAAAUAUUGAAGAUCGAAUUACAUGAGAGAAUAUAACAAAAUUGUUGAUGUAUAUAUUGAACAAGGUGAUGCUAAUUCAAUCACUUUAUGCAUAGUCCAAUGCCAGAAAACUCAACUUUGUUGAACGAAACCCAAAAGAAGGAAUCAAGAAAGGUCUCUCCAAUGGCCACGAGCAAAUGAGUCCAUUAUAAAAGUUAUGGCAAAGCAAAGUGUUGAGGAGCUAAUGGAGACAGAGGACCAUGAAAGUCCAAGAAGAUGAGGACUUUCACAUGCGAAGAUAUCAUUUUGAGAAAGACUUUCACUUGCUAAAAAUGUCAUUUUCUUUUUUGUCCAGAAAGUGAAGUGAAAAAGAGAUGGUGGGAAAGAAACUUUGAAGACCAAAAUUUUUGCACGCCUUUUAAUGGUGGAAAAGAUAUUAAUAGAAUCCUAAAAGAUCAAGACUCUGCACGUCACAUCUUUUCAUGGCAGGAAAAAAAUUAGUAAACUCCAAGAAGAUCGAGACUUUUGCACGUCUUUUGAUAGUGCACAUCUUUUUAUGGUAGGAAAGAAGCUUUAAUAGAUUCCAUAAAGACUAAGACAUUUGCAAGUCUUUUGUCUUUUGUUGGUGGGAAGAAAACUUCAAUUGAUGCCAAGAAGACUGAGACCUCUGUAUCUUUUUUUGUUUUACCAAUAGAAUUUUCAGGCAUUACAAGUCUUGCUUAAAAUCAGCAAUACCAUAAUUUUCCUUUAACUCUUUUUGGGUCUAAUCAUUUUGGGAUUUUUUCAUUCAUUAAUCUCUAUUGUAUCUUUUCAAAUUCGAGUUCAACAAAAGAAAAGAAGAGAGCAAAGAGAAAGCCUAAAAAGAGGAAGCAACAAAAACUUAAAAAAGAAAAUAAAGAAGAAAAAGGGGCAAGAUAGAGCAUUAUCAAAGCACGGCCACGGCCGUGUUGUUGCCAUUAGUGCUGCUACUACGGUGACUAUUUCCAACUUCAUCACCUUACAGUGACCUUCGUAGAUAACAUUUUUCUUGAGAUGUUUUUCUUAUCGCGGUUCAUAAGUUGAGGAUAAUGACAUCGAGAUUAUCAAAACUUUUGCUUAGUUUACAAUCAACUACCUAAACUUUUCUUUUUUAAUUAAGUACCUCAUUUUUCAAAUUUGACUCAAUUUAAGGUAUUCGUUGAAUAAAUUAUCAUGUCAUAUGAUUUUGCUAAUAUGGUUUGCUCACCACUGGAGAUAAUGUAGGAGUAAGGUUAGGCACUGCAUAGGACUUAAAUGAUCAUAGUGUCUAAUAUAUCUCGACCGAGAUAUAUUUGGCCGAGAUGUAUUAGAUGCUAUAUAUAUGUUAGUAAGAUUGUGGUGGCUAUAUGCGAAGCCCAUUCAGAGACUAUAAAGUAUCUCGGCUGAGAUAUAUUAGAUGUUAUAUGUUAAAAAGAUUGCGGUGGCUAUAUGUCAAGCCCAUUUAGAGUCUGUAAAGUCCUCAACGUUGAUUUUCUUUACAUUUUUUGCAAUCAUUUGACCAUAAAGCAUUGCUCUUGCCCCUUUUUCUUGGCCAAUUCCAUUGCUUUCCCUUUGAUCCAUUCACCCAAAACUUAAAAGUUUUGUGCAGGUAGUUUGGCCUAAAUCAGUUGGAACCGGUUUGAAAAUAUACCGAUUUUCAACAUUAGAUCCACUUAGUUUUAGAGUCCCAUGGGUAUAGAAAUGGGCUUUUGGCUACUGUUGCACAUGGAGGGACUUGAGCACUCAACUCCACGGAUCACCGGCAUUUCACUAACCAAGGCCGAACGAUUCAUGUGUUCAUGGGGAAUUGCCAGCACUACAUAUCUAUAAUUGUUUGCUCAAGACACAAUCACCGAUUCCCCUAGUCCAACUGCUUGGCCCGCAAAUAGGCAACCUAACUGGUUCCCUUACUAGCCUGAGUUUGAAAAUAUUGGUGCAAAGUUCCUAUCCCUUCUUAAAAUAAGUAGAUAUGACCAUCUGAUAUGAAUUGAGUCGUAAUGCCCACAAUACUUUUGCCAUGUAACAAAAUAUGAUAGCUAAGUGAUUAUAACUAAUAAACAUCAAUGCUCCUCUCUUUCUCCUUGAUCAUAUGAGAUCUGGAAAUUCUUCGUACAGCUCCAAAUGAGGUUGAUGCUCAACCUCCAUGGUACAUUACUCUUGUCAUUUUUAUAACGCAAAAACCAGAAAAUGAUGCAGUGCAACAUAUUCAGCUUUUCACAGUAGCAGUUUGAUUUGUCACGUACAAUUUUGGAUAUCAAGGUUUUUAUGAGCAUGAGAAGAAAUCUAGCUGCAACAUUUGGAAGCAAAUUACUCAACAUCAUCCCCAUUGAGUUUGCUAAGAAUUUUCUUUUGAUAAGCAGAAGAAAUUUACUGCACAAUGGCAUUAGGCAGAUGCUAAUCCAUGUAACAAAUCAUAAACGCAAUUCAUGCUAUGAGGUAUAAGAAAGAAUGCAUAUUAGUAAUGUCAUUUUCACACAACCAAAAGCUGUGGAAAGCCAUCUAUCAUUCAAAUCAAAAAACCAGUCUUGCUAAUUUCAAAGGCUCUCCCAUUUCUUUCUUCAAAACAGAACAGUAAGCUAAUGAAAUGAAUCAACCAUAAACACAGCCCAACAUAAACAAGCAGUAAUAAAAACUCCUUACUGUUUGAUGUUGGAUUCUAAAAUCCAACAAAAGGAAGUUCUCCAGUAGAACCAAAAAUCAGGAGUUUGCCAUAGUUUCAUGGAGAUUUUGAACAAAAGUUACAAGACCUAUGGAACAUCGGAUAGAAAGCAAAUGAAUGCAUGUUGCAAGAGGCAGUCUUGGAUAUUGUGGACCAUAAUAUCCAUGCACAGUGAUGAACAAGGCAUUACUGCAGGGUGAGCUUGGCAUCUAAUUUGUAACAACAAGAGAGAGAAUGUCGAUCGUCAUAGCAGCAGAGGCUAUGUUCUCCAUGAUAGCUACUACCCAAUCAUCUCUUUGAACCAACAAUUGAAAUUAAAAUGCAGGGUGGCAAGUUCAUUUUCAGAAUAGCAGAUUAGUAUGGCAGCACUCAAAUAAGUCGGACCAAUAAUUGAGAAUGAAUCAGUCACUGUAAAUAGACUGCUUCUGAUGUCCUUGCUGGCACCGAGGCGAGCUGAGAGUUGCCUAAAGCAUUAACCGCACAUUCUUUCUGAAUCAUUGACUUCAGGAGUCCCAGUGGCAAUGUUUAGGACUAACAAGGAAUGAGAUGGAUCAGUCCGCUAUUAACUGACUUGGUUUAUAGAUGUAAGCAGAGUUUGUCUAAUUAAAUCUGUACAAAACUCGAAACUUUGAACUUGUGAGAGAUGCUGGAAAGCAGUAUCUGACACUCAAAUAAGAACAUAAGAACAUACGACCUUAAAAUGAAUCACGAGGCUUGUAUUUAUUGUCAAUUUCAUGUAUAUCCAUGAAGGAGCUGCCUCCAACUGCAAUACCCUUCAAUUCAUUUAUGGCUUCUAUUUGGUUCGGCUGCAUAGCAAUGCCUCCAUUCUCAGAACUACCCUCUAGAAAUUCAUUAUCUUCCAUAUCUGCUAAGUCCAUAAAAGUUUCUGUCUUAUUCUUCCUCCCCGUACAACCAACAAGGCUUAGGACCUUUUCCUUCCAAAUAACCGGCGGACAUUUCUGAAUCAGCUCCGCACCUUCAUAAGCUCCUGUCAAGAACACGCUAAACCAACACCUUUGACACCACUUUAUGCUUCUCAGUGGCAAUUUCGAGAUCAUGGACCCUCUUGUCCUUGCGCCUAUCUUUCACUCUCUUGCUGGUGGUCAUGAAUCUAUGCUGCGACCAGUUAAGUAAAAACUCGCCAAGACUCCAGUUUCUUCUCAGGGUAGGCGAACGCAAUAGCGAGGUGACAAAGCAACCAAACUCGCUUGCCGCGCUCCAUUCAUUCGAGGAAGCUGCGGUUUUACCAAUGAUUUGAAGACGGGUCAUGUCAAGAUGGUAAUGCCUCGCUCCAAAUUCAAGAAACAAGCCCAAGAAAAGCAAAUGCCUCUCGCUCAAGACAAACAUCAAACGGCUUACGUGCAAUGGAACGAGGACCAACAAGAGCCCAAGACAAAAGAAUAUUCGAGAAGAUCGCCGUAAAUGCGCGGUUACCACCUCUCUCGGAUCACUCGAUGAGCAUCAGUGUCGACUUCGACGGAAGCUGGUUGGGAUUUCAGGCGGGGCUUGUGCGGAGAACGAAGAAGAAGAAGAAACGAGGCGCGAAGAAGAGGGAACGGAUUGUCGUUUUGGUUUUUGCGUUUUCCGUCGUGAAUGAGGUGACAUUUUGAUUUAAAUAAUUAAAAGAGCUUGAGGGUCUUAUAAAAGGCGAUAUUCCUGUGUUUUUUCUUUUUAAUUAUAAAAUUGAGGCGUUUGAGAUUACAUCGAAAAUCUGAUUUAAAAUCUUAAUAAAGUUUAGUAAAAAAAAAUCAAACCAUAUCGAAAUCAAAUAUUGGGUUUCAUGAUUCAUAGACAACUGAAUGUCUUCUCUCAUUAUACACAUGUUCGAAAACUUACAUAAAAGAACAAAUUUUUUAGAAAAAAAUAAGGAAAAAUAUAUUGGAGAUUACUAAUGGUUCUAUAUUUUAAGUCUGAUUUGCCUAUUUUGUAAAUUGGAGUCGAAAGGGUUCGAUAUUAAAUAAAAAUCAAAUUUCAGGCAUUAAAUGUCUUCCUUGUUUGACAAAAGAAAACACAUGCUCCAUGUUCGUCACCUUUUUUUGAAUGACCAAGUUACAAAUUUUAGGAUAUGUGUUGACCAAUCAAACCGGUCACGAACAAGUUCUUAGCAAGCCAUUCCAAAUAACUCAAUUGUUCAUUGAUAUUUUCACAAUUCUACAAGCAAUAAAAAAUCGAGUUUGAACAUAAUGCAAUUAAACCAAGUAUCGACCACAAUAUAGAUCGAUUCUUUUCCUUUUUUAAGAACUUAAUUGGGUCCAAUUUAAGAAAGUUAUAAGCCGGAUAGGAUUAAGAUGAAUAUAAAACCGAGAUAAAUAAAUAAAAAUUGAGUUAUUUAAUGGAAAAUAAAAAGAAAAAAAUCAAACGAAUAUUUUCCACUCCCUCUCUAGGAGUGUAUUUGAUAAAUUCUUAAAACAGAUCCAUUAAACCUCAAUUCGUGAGGAUCUAUCUCAGAAUAACGAAACUCAGUCAAACCCCUUUUUCUUAAAAAAGGAAAAAAAAAAGGAAAAGAAAAAUAAGCCGAGAGCCAUCCUUCCCCGCUUCCCUCCAAUUUCCGAUCGUUUCCAAAAUCCGCAAAAAAAAAUUCGAAAGUCUCUUCUCCUGCGCAGACGCAGCGAACUCCAUCGCCGAUCGUCAAACUCCAUCGUCGUCGAAGAUGCUUUCGUCUCUCAAACUGAGUUUCACGAUCUCCGCUCGAUUUCAAUUCAUGUCCUUUUCCGCGGUGCCAUUGCCGAUGACGAUGAUUCUGGGUCUCAUCUCGUGUUCGCUCGUUGAUGUUCGGAGCCGAAGAGCAGAAGAUAGUGGAAAGAGAGGACGACGAUGACGAAGCAGAAGACCUGCCCGAAACGAUCGACAAACAAACGUGAGUUACGGCAAAACGAGAGUGUAGGCAAUGCUCUCUGUUCAUGCCAUCGCUUUCGCAACGAGUUUCGGUGCGUCAUUUGAUUCUGAGAUUGAUUAUCGUGAUUUUCUGAUUCCGUGUUCCGAAAGUUAAAAUUAAGAUGCAAAUGGUUCGAUGAAGCUACGGCUGUGAUUAUCGUGAUGUACAUCUCGACCUUUCUCUCGAACUUGCCGUGAUUUCCUGCGCGUGCAAUAGUUUUUAGUUUUUUGUCUUCUGAUCAUACAAGAGCAAUUCCAGCCUUCGUUAUGUUACGUGAUCUUGGAAUUGCACCAUUGGAUGUCUUGUUUUCCAUGUAUUGGUCAUAUAGCUGGAUUGGUAAGGAAUAUCCUAAGCUAAAUUCAUCAAUAAUCACUGUUGGAAAGUUGGAUUGUCAGUGAUGAUCUAGGAAAUGCUUUUGUCCUGGCAUCCUACAAUCACCAGAAGAGUUUGACACGAUGGUGAGUUGGUCUCAUUUUCCUUCUCUGAACUUCUUCCUUUAUUUUGUUUGCAGUUAUUUCUCAAGGAAUAAAUGCUGGAGAUAUGAAAAAGCUCCAGGAUGCAGGAAUCUACACUUGCAAUGGCUUGACGAUGCAUACAAAGAAGGUAUAUCUGAUCUUUAGUCCUGAGAAUUAAGUUGAGGAGUGUAUUCUUAUUUGGCCAAGUGAUUUGCUUUUGCUUUGUUUAUUUUUGGGUAGCACUUAACUGGAAUAAAAGGAUUAUCUGAGGCAAAAGUUGACAAAAUAUGCAAAGCGGCUGAAAAAAUAGUGGUUAGAGCUUAAAUUCUUCUAGACCUGAGAUGGUGGCUUCAAUCAAUUUGCACUUCUAUGAGCAUCUCGCAUUGACUUCCCUUCGUUUUAUCAGAAUUUUGGCUAAAUUACUGGAAGUGCUCAGUGUAAGUUCUUAAUUCUGCAACCUUCGAGCUAAAAUGGUUCGGAAUAGCCUUGAAAUAAAGCCUGCAAAUUAGCAUAUCCGUUGCUCAAAGUACUCUCAAUGUCUUCGUUUUUCUCUAGAGAGAGUCGUUGGUUGUUUGCAUCACAACUGGAAGCCAAGCCCACGAUGAGCCUGUAGGUGGUAAGAGACUUUCUUUUGCAGACUGUGUGUCUUAUUCUUCAUGCAUUUCAAUGAAAACAAAUUUCACCGGUUUGGCAAUGUUCACAGGUGGUAUUGAAACUCUGGCAAUUACGGAAGCAUUUGGUGAAUCUGGGUGAAAAUCACAGUCCAACAACAUUACCUUUUGAUGAACUUUUGGUUGCUUUUGUUAAUUAGCUUUCUCAGAAAAUGCUGCUGACGUCACUUCAGGUCUGGGAAAACAUAGCUUGCAUAUACCCUAUGUGUUACUUCCCAGGUUGGUCUGAAUUGGAUAUUAGGUUUCUGUCUUGAACUUCUGUUUCUUUCUUUUUCUUUUUUUUUUCUCCAGAUGAACAAUGCCAAAUAGUAACAUGAUGAUUGAAUUCCUAUGAAGUAUAAAGAUGUGGGUAAUCUUGGCAUCAUAAUGUGUGUAUUAGGUGAUUCUGGAAGUAUGGCACUCAUUUUCUGUAAUCUGCACUCGGUAUACUGGAACCCAUGUACAGUGGCUCAAACCAAGCAGGAAAAAGGCCAGAGGAGUUUAGACUAUGUCAUAACCCAGUAAAAGCCUUAAUCACAGAUGGACUCGGACUUGGGUUGAUCAUUAGUUGAAUGUGAUGCUUGAAGAUACUCUACUUCCUUUGCAAAUCCUACAACAGUACUUACCCCUGUUUAUAAUCAUUCUUUGUUAAUGGUUUGUGGAUUCCAUGUUUGUAAAAUAUUUUCAGCUGCCAAGUCACAUGAGAGGAGGAAAUGGCAAGGUAGCUUAGAUCAACGCAAAAGGAAGCAAAAGGAACUUUGUAUGCUAUUACAAUCUGUCUGUAUUUUUCUUGACCUCGGCAAAGCUGCUUGUGUUUCAUAAACGUUAUCUGUCCAUGUAAGCGCAUGUGCACUUUCUUAACUUGGUACACCUGCAGUUGCGGUGAUCGAAUUGUACCAAUUGCCAAGAGAUUUGGCAUGGACUAUCUUGCAGUCCUAGAUAAUGUAAGCUAAGCUUUCUAUAUUGGUGGCAACUCUUCCUUCUUUUCUGGCUAGUGUACUUGCUGUAAUCUAGUCUUUCCAUGAAUUUGUAGAUCAUUUAUGCCCGUGUCUAUACUUAGGAGCAUCUGGCUGCCAAAAUGUGUGAAGAACCAUUUAGAUUACUGGUAAGACAGCACUCCAGAAUGAAACUGCACACAUUUUGUGAGGUGUGGAUGGUUGGCCUUAGGUCAGUAAUAUCUUUCAGACUAUGGAUUCAGCGAUUACUCUCUUUCAAAUGGGUAUUAUUGGAAGGGGAGAACUUGUAAAGAGCCAGGUCCGUUGAAACCGUCAAAUCAUGCGAGUUGUAUUUUUGAGCUCAUCUUGUUUGACACAAAUAGAUUCUGAAUUGUGGCAAAAAUUUGCACAAGUGCUCUCAUGCUUACUUAAGAUAGCUGAGGAAUUUAAUGUGACAGUGUACAUAACUAAUCAAGGUACGGCAUCACAUCUUAUUUCUCCCACAGUCAUGCAUCCAUUAAUACUUAUCCAAUCUAGCCCUUGAUGGUGCACACUGAAAAAUUGCAAUUUGGGGAUAGCACUAAGCUCAUGCUAGUUCUUGUAAAUCUCAAGAAUCAGCUGUUUGGUGUAAACUUGUAAUGUACACAGUGGCUACAGUCCAUUAUUUAACAGUCCAUUACUUAAGGAAAAAAGAUAAUUUUUUCACGACUUUGAUUUAUUUGUUUCAGCAUCAAAGAAACCUGCAGGUGGGCAUGUUCUGGCUCAUGCGACCACAACUAGGUUGAUGUUUGAGAAAGGCAAAGGUGAGCAGCGGGUUUGCAAGGUGUUCAAAGCCCCAGACCUACCUAAAGCUGAAGUUAUAUCCUUUCUGUGCUGGAUCUUUUGUCUAGCCAUACACUUUAUUGAAAUUUACCAGAUUAUACUGCAGAGACCAAACGAAAUAUGUAGAAAUCUUUAUCAAUCAGAGAGAAAGUUGAUACUAAGUCCAUAUAUGCAUAGGUGGAGACAAGAGUUUGAGCAGUAUACUUGCAGUAUACUUACAUUUGCAGCCUGUGCUAUGGAAACAAUAUACCCAAACAUUGGUGAUGCCAUACUGUUCCUCUAGUUACAUACUUAGUUGAAAUUUAUCAUACCAUAUUGCAGAGACCAAGUAAAAUAUCUGGAAGUCUAUAUCAAAAUCUGUGAGAAAGUCUAUACUUAGUUGACAUAGGUUUAGGUGGAGACCUGAUUUAAGCAUGAUACUCACAGUAUAAUUGAUGUUGCUUGGAGAUCCAUCAACACGCUGAAUACGAAUUUUGUGUGGAGGAAUUAAACAAAAAGAAGUGGAUAUCGGGAAUUUUCCUCAGUAGGACUGGUAGUCUGGUAUAUUAUUAUUAGCUUUGCUGGUAUGUAGACGAUGCACAUCUAUCCAGACCAUCACUCAAUUUUGUUAGAAAAUUUAGCAAGAACUCAUCUGUCAAUAAGAUGAGACUGAGAUUUAUUUCAUCUAUGCUGAACUUGACAAACUCACGUUUUUCAGAUAACACCAGGAGGCAUCGCUGAUGCCAAGGACUGACAAAGUCUCUACAACCAGGAAGGCAGGCGAAAUGCUUUUUUUUUUUUUUUUUUUUAUUGGUUAAUCUGCAAUUUGAUGUUAGUCAUCGUAUUGACAGCAAGAUGCAUAUAAUGAGCUCCCAAGCACUUGUUCAUUUCCUUUAUCUGCAAUGGACUCUGUCACCCUCUUCAUAGCUUGUCCUUAAGUGUCAUGUGCUCGACAACAGACCAUUCAUGAAUGACAUGAAAUACUUUCUCUAACUGUGAUGGUGACCCAAAAGAUUUGUCAUCUACAUUGUCACCUUUGUGUAUCAAAUGCAAAAUAUAUCGUAAGGGUAAGGCAUAGGUAUCCUUUCUGCUCCUUGUAUUUAUCUUUAGCCAAUUGAAUGCAAAUAACGCAGCCUUAUAUGCUCUUAGGAGCUUAAUCGAGCAUGCCAUGCUAUUGAAAGUUUAGAGGACUACAUCAGGCUUGAGAUGAGAUGUAAUUAGAAGAAAAUUAUUCAGUGUCAUUUUGAAUAACUUGAAAUGAAAUGAAAUUUAUGAACCAUGGUAUUUCGUCAUAAAGAAAAGAAAAACAAAAAAUUAUCAAAUGCAAUAUGUUUUUAACUACACAUAAUAGCAGUUUGGUUUAAGGCUAACAGUUUGUGGAUAUUGGGGUUUUUAUGAGCCGGAGAAGAAAUCUAGUCACAAUAUUUGAAAGCUAAUUACCCAACAUCAUCUCCAUUGAGUUCACAAUAAUUUUCUUUUGAUAAGUAAAAGAACUUUCUUGAACUUUCUUACACGAGCAAUUCAGCUUUUGUUUAUAUUAUGCGACAUUCAAAUUGCACCAUUGCAGUAGCUGCAGUCCAUGAGUUUCGGAAAAAGAUGAUUUUUUUGACUUAGUCUUUGAUUUAUUUGUUUCAGUCGUAGAUGAUCCAGGCAGUGAUGUGUUCAUAUCAGACCCAACGAAACCUGCGGAUGGGGAUGUUCUGGCUCAUUUAGCCACAAUUAGGUUGAUGUUUAGGAAAGGCAAAGGUGAGCAGCACGCCUCCAAGGUGUUUAAGGCCCCAAACCAACCUGAAAUUGAAGCUAAGUCGAUACUGAGUCUACAUAUAGAUAAGUGGAGACCUGAUUUAAGGAUGGUGCUCACAAUAUACUUGAUGUUGUAUGGAGAUCCAAGAACAUGUUGAAUGCGAAUUUAUGCAGAGGAAUUAAACAAAAAGAAAUGGAUUUCAAGAAUUUUUCUAAGCAAGACUGGUAGAUUAACUGUGCAGCCUGUGCUCUAUGUAGAUGGCACAUCUAUCAAAACCAUCACUUAUUGCACGAGAGGUUACCGCUUUACCCUCAAUAUUGAACAUGCUAUAAUUGUCUGUUAUUAAAGUUCACAUGAUCACAAGGUUUCGUGUAAACUCGAUUUCCAUAUGAGAACCAGCAUGCUCGAAGUUAUAUUGGUUCACAUCUGUUCUCAUAUGACAAUAUCGUCCCGGUCUGAUUUACUAGUAGAGAUUCUAUGCGGAAAACAUUACAUUGGAUAAACUUUGCAUGAUGGCUAAAUGAAAUGCCAGAAAGAUAUUACUGCACAAAGCAUGAUCAAGUUCUGUAAAGGCUUGGUUUUGUAAGUACAUAUACAGCUGCACAAAAACAAUGUCAUCUCAAACUCUCAACAUAGAGCAACAGGCCAUUAAAGCCAAAAAAAUUGUCAAUGUAUGAGAAAGGGUGACUGGGUCAUAAGCAACAGAAGGCCAUUCAAUAGCUAAUAGCCUGCCCAAAAAAGGGCCACAAUGCAUAUGACUCGGCAGUGCAAGGACCAGUUCGCAGCAAUCCCAACUCUAGGCAUGCUGGACUCCUUAGUCUCUGCACCACUUCAAAAUGUAGUGCUGUGCACUCCGCUCGACCUAUUCACGCUAGGAACUGGCUUCACCUCAUUCGGUGCAUGCUCGUAACUCCUCAAACCUUUAGAGCUGGUAAAGAAGCAUCCUGAGUUGGAAAAGAAGGCAACGUUAACAGGUGAACGAUUUGGCACUCAAAAAUCAUCGGAAGAGCAACAUUGUAGGUGAUAAGGCACAUUUCAAUACAUGCAUACAGGUAAAGAACACCAUUUUAACCUUAGAUUAUAAAUUUAUGUUCGAAACCAAUUUUUCCAAAAUGCUGUUACCCCACAACAUAACAUUCUCCUUUGAACUCUGCUUAAUAUCAGCAGAGCUCAUCCAUUCUUACUUUUCACAUUGCAAUGCAUGGACCAAAUUCCAGUGGAGCCGCAUCAACAAACCGAAAAAAUAAUUACCUUUAGGGAAUGGUGCGAAAGACUUCCCAAAGCCCAUCUUCACGACUUCUGCAUCAUCUGAGUGAACAAGACUGCCUCCGGAAUCAAUUCCCCAGAAGGAAGGAAAACUGCCAUAACAUCCUGAAUGAUUCAGAGGACAGAAAGGAUUAGAUAUAGAUCACAGAGGAGGGAGAGAUUGAGAGCGAUAUCCCAGAACGAAACCAAUGAACAUUAUUAUUACUCACACAGGCCAGAAAAGGGGUUUUAGAAGAGCUGUUGAAGAGCACAAAACCAAACUUCCUGCUGAUGUCUCUCACGACUUGAUCAGCAGGGUAGGCCUCCCAUCCCUCAGAAUUCAAUAAGCUUCUACGACGAUAAUGACCUCAUUAGUGGUUUUAUUCCAUCCAUAUUGCUGCUUAAGAAGAGCAACAUUGCCUAUGUCCUUGGAACAAGCAACCGCAAACAAUCUGUCACUGAGGGUAAGGCAUGUCAAAUCUCGAUGUGGGACGAGUUGAUUGAGAAGAGAAGACAAUACGGAAAUUUCCAUCAAUUAACAAUCCAAUUAAAUUUCAUUAUCUGGCUUUCAAAAUGAACCAGACUCGAGUUCCACUAUCUCCUUUAGGCUGACAAAUGGAACCUUUCAUGGUAUCACAGUAAAGUCCAACAAAAAUCAGUUUGAUCUAACCGUUGCCUCUCUAAACAAUGAAAUCAUGAUUAUUUUUUCUUUUUUGGUGGUUAAAGCUACCUUUAUCAAGAGAUGGAGUGGGAAUUUGAAUAGAAGAAAGAUAAACAUGUUAUAUGUGCAAUAACAUUCAAAAAGCCUCAGAGAAAGUACACAGUGAACUGCGAUUUAGAUUACAAAUUAACUCACCUCUAAAAGAGCUUCACGAUCUCACACAAAAAUUGCUUCAAUAAAAAAUUUACAUAUGCAAACAGAGACGGAGGAGAUGUAUCAGACAAGGUUUGCAUUCGUCGAACUGCAAGAUUUCCAGUUACACCAAACAAACACAAGUAAGCUCGAAACUUUUGUUCUGGAACUCCCCACACGAAAGAUGCCACAUAAGAAGGGAUUUUCAGAUAAAAUAACAUAAUGUAAGACAAAAUAAUAUUCCACAUUAGAGUAAACGCACACGGGUGAUACUUUAAAGAACUGAAUAGAUUUGCCCCAGAGGUCACUGCUGACAACACAAUCACAGAAGCAGGUAGCAUAUCAUUUCAAUCUCAACCAAACAAGCAUAAGUAGUUUGGCUAAAAAUUUCUUGCAAGCUUUUAGUAAUGGUUCCUAACCCACCAGAGAUCAAGACCCAAGUGGAAGGUGAUUUAUGGAAUAUCAAUGUUGUCAUGAAUUGGUGUGGCAUUGAAAGGUUGGAGCCAUGAGGCACCCCAGAAUUUUAUCCCAGAUUGACUGGUUAAUACUACGAAGGAUCAUCAUCAACAAAAAGAAGGUUCUCAAUGAUAAAGGAAACCAUUGAAAAAAAAAGAAAAAAGGAAGUGCAUCCCUUUUCUUCACAAUCAUAUCACAGCAUCCACAUAACUAAUCAUGUUUUUAGAUUUUAGAAAAGAUUAUUCUUAUUUAGAUCGUAUUCACUAGAAGACAAUUUAGAACAUCUCAAUGAACCAAAUUAAAUUAAACGCUUCUUUUUUCUAUUAUUAAAUUGCAAAAGGUGACACUUAACAUUGACAGCAUUAGCCCCACCUCAACAGCAUUUACAAGUGAUCCUUCCAAGAGAUUUUGCCAAUACAGAUCACAGUGGUAUCUGCAAAGCAACCACGGUGAACAAGCUUAAGGGCGGAAGAAAAAAGAAGUUGGGAAGAGAACAUACAACAAACGCUGAAGAGCAUAGUGCAUUUUGAUUCACAAUUUGUUUGGCGGGUCACACAAGUGCGAAAAUAAGCACAGUAUUUGGGCAUCAAGAAGAGUUCAAGAUAUGUCAUCAAUAUAGCAAGAUGCAGCUUUGUGAACAGUUCAUUCUACAUAUGUCAAUCUUUCACCUUCAGCGGCUGGUUUUCGAAAAUUUAUGUGAAAAAUCUGAAUGAGGAAAAUCAGUUCGUAUCAAGCAUCGAAUUUAGGAACUGGCUUCACCUCAUUCUGUGGGUGCUCAUAACUCCUCAAACCUCCAGAGCUGGUGAAGCAGCAUCCUGAGUUGGAAGAGAAGGCAAUGUUAAAAGGUGAACAAUUUGGCGCUCAAAAACCAUUGGAAGAGCAACAUUGUAAGUGAAAAUGCACAAAUCAAAACAUGCAUACAGAUAAAGAGCACCAUUUUAACCAUAAAUUAUAAAUUUAGGUUUGGAACCAAUUUUUCCAAUAUGAUGUCACCCAACAAAAUAACAUUCUCCUCUGAAUUCUGCUUAAUAUCAGCAGAGCUCAUCCAUCCUUACUUUUCAUAUUGCAAUGCAUGGACCGAACCCCAGUGGAGCCGCAUCAACAAACCGAAAAUAUAAUUACCUUUAGGGAAUGGUGCGGAAGAUUUCCCAAAGCCCAUCUUCACGAUUUCUGCAUUAUUAAAGAGAACAAGACUGCCUCCAGAAUCAAGUCCCCAGAAGAAAGGAACACUUCCAUCAACAUCCUGCAUGAUUCAGAGAACAGAAAGGAUUAGAUAAAGAUCACAGGUGAAGGGAGAGAUUGAGAGUGAUAUCCCAGAACCAAACCAAUGAACAUUAUUAUUACUCAGAGGCCAGAAAAGCGGUUUUAGAAGAGCUGCCGAAGAGCACAAAACCAAACUUCCUGCUAAUGUCUCUCACAACUUGAUCAGCAGGGUAAGGCCUCCGAUCCCCAGAGUCCUAUAAGCUUCUAUGAUGAUGAUGACCACAUUAGCAGUUUUGUUCCAUCCAUAUUGCUGCUUAAUAAGAGCAAUGUUGAAAAUCAGAAUGAUUUUCUGGUUAUUUUGUUUCCAGCUUUUCCAGAUUUUUCAGAUCUUUUAGAUUUAGAUUUUCUAGAUCUUUCAGAUCUUCUAGAUUUUCCAGAUUUUAUUUUUCCAGAUUUUAUUUGUUAGUUUUUAGGAAUUUGUUUACUAGCUUUUUAGGGUGCUGUAGCAACUAUAAAAAUGUUAGUGUCUCAUGUAAAUAUUAAUUCUCUAUAGAAUAAAAAACUCAGAGUAAUUUCUCUCAAAAUUCUUCAUGGUAUCAGAGCACGAUCUGGACCAUUCUCUUCUACCUUAUUUCUGAGAGUUUCCACCAUGACAAAAUACCCUAGAGCUGCCAUGGCUAGCGAGUUUGAGAGUGAAACCUCAGACCCUAGAGCUCAGAACUCUUCUCACAUUAUCCAACCUAUCAAUGUAUCUGAAGGUGGAACUCUUCUCAUCACCAGUCAUAAACUUACCGGUCACAACUUCAAUCAAUGGUCCCAUUCUGUCAUGAUUUUCGUUUGCGGAAAAGGUAAAGAAGAUUACCUAACUGGAGCUGCCGUACAACCUGAGGAGACGAGCCCAGAUUAUCGAACAUGGAAGGCGGAAAACAACAUGGUGAUGUGCUGGCUGCUGAAUUCAAUGACAAAUGAAACAGGGGAGAAUUUCAUGUACUACAAGACAGCAAAGGAGAUUUGGGAUGCUGUUCAUGAAACUUAUUCAAACAAGGACAACACCUCAGCCAUUUUCGAGAUCAAGGGCAUUCUCCAUGACCUAAGGCAAGGGGAAUCUUCUGUCACUGAUUAUUUUAACCAACUUAUACGUCAUUGGCAGCAACUUGACAUGCUGGAAGAUGUGAUGUGGAGUUGUCCUGAAGAUAGCAAGCUGUACAAGCAGAUUCAAGAUCGAGAACGCAUCUACAAAUUUUUGUUAGGCUUGAAUCAAGAGCUUGAUGAGGUACGUGGACGGAUUCUGAGCAUAAAGCCCCUACCUAGUGUACGUGAAGUUUUUGCUGAGGUCAGGAGAGAAGAGACUCGGCGAAAGGUGAUGCUUGGUUCCUCAAACCUGACCAAUCCAGCAAAUUCUGCUCUAAUAGCUCGAGGAUCUCAACCAUCCUACAGUCGAGGCACUCAAUCAAACAACAACAACCAGCGAAGGGGUGGUCGUCCAUGGUGUGAUCAUUGCAAACGAACAGGUCACACAAAAGACACCUGCUGGAAAAUUCAUGGUCGGCCAGAUGAUUGGAAGCCAUCAGCCUCACAUCCUACUCAAAAUCGAGAGAGCAGAAGCAACGUAGUCCAAACCGAAACAAUUGCUUCGGUAGAUUCAAGUCCUUUCAACAAAGAGCAGUUGGAGAUGCUUAAAAAGCUGCUACAAGAAUCAGUUCAGAAGGCAACCCAUCCAGAAGGGGUUAGUACAGCAACGAUAGCCCAACAAGGUAACUGUCUAAAUGCCUUUAGUGCUAAACAGGAGAAGAUCACCUCUUGGGUUGUAGACUCAGGAGCAUCCGACCACAUGACCGGAGAUAUUACGGUGUUCAACGAGUACACUCCAUGUAAAAAUGGCACUAGUGUUCGAAUUGCUGAUGGAUCUUGCUCAAAGGUGGCUGGUGUUGGAUCAGUGGUUAUUUCAAAAGAUAUAACACUGAAUUCAGUAUUAUUUAUUCUCAAACUCAGCUAUAAUCUUCUCUCCAUUAGCAAGUUAACCAAAGAUUUAGGCUACAUUACUAAAUUUUUCCCACACUCAUGUGAAUUUCAGGUUUUGGAUUCGGGGAUGACGAUUGGCAGUGCUGAGAUGGAUGCGGGUCUCUACCUUCUACGAGUUAAUGCCUCAGAAUGGAAAAACAAGAUGUCAUGUGUAGCAUCUCGUGCUAAAGAAGAGAGUGAUGUAAGAUUGUGGCACUAUCGGUUAGGUCAUCCAAAUUUCUCGUACUUAAAAAGGUUGCUACCUUCUUUGUUCAAUAAGAUUCAAUAAAACUUCAAUGUGAGGUGUGUCAAUUAUCCAAACAUACUCGUAGUUCAUAUCCUUUGCAACCGUACAAGUCUUCCCAUCCAUUUCACAUGAUUCAUAGCGAUAUUUGGGGACCUUCUCGUGUCAAUAACAUUUCUGGUUUUAGGUGGUUUGUUACUUUCAUUGAUGAUCAUACAAGACUCACUUGGCUGUUCCUAAUGAAAGAAAAAUCAGAUAUUGGCCAAAUCUUUCAAACCUUCAACCUAAUGAUCCAAACCCAAUUCAGCACAAAAAUCCAAGUUUUCAAAACGGAUAAUGGGAGAGAAUACUUUCACUCACAACUCGGGUCAUAUCUAAAUAGCCAUGGUAUCAUACAUAUUAGCUCUUGUGUAGAGACUCCACAACAGAAUGGAGUGGCGGAGAGGAAAAAUAGGCAUCUUUUGGAAGUCGCUCGUUCUCUUAUGUUAACCACCCAUGUUCCUAAACAUUUUUGGGGAGAAGCAGUGUUGACAGCCACAUAUCUCAUCAAUCGUAUGCCUUCCCGUGUCCUAGAUUUCCAAACACCAUUUCAGAGUCUACUUCGUAUUUACCCACAUAUACUUCGUAUUUACCCACAUAUUCGUUUUGCGUCACAUAUCCCAUUCAAAGUAUUCGGUUGCACAGCUUUUGUUCAUAUAAAUCAGCAACAUCGUAGCAAGCUAGAUCCUAAGUCUCUCAAAUGUGUGUUUCUAGGAUACGCUCCAAAUCAAAGUGGAUAUAAAUGUUAUUGCCCACAAAUAAAGCGUUUUUAUACCACUAUGGAUGUUACAUUCUUUGAGCACCAGCCCUUCCACUCCAACAAUACCAUUCGGGGGGAGAGUUGUGAGGAAUAUUAUUUUUGGGAUACUUUUCAUUCACUCGGGUCACAACAAACAAAUACCAACUCUGCUUGUCUUCCGAGUCUACCCAUGCAAGAUGCUACACAAGACAAAAAUAAAGAGGUAAUUGUCUACUCUAGGCGGAAAACUCAAAAGGAGUUGGAGGACCGUACUACAUCAAAGCCGGCCCAAGAGACAGACCUGAGUUCAAGACCCACAAUGGAUGAAGGUAAUGCUCCUAUAAGCUCAGAAAAUUUUGCUGUACUUGAUGAUCUUGAUCAGCCCAUUGCUCUUAGGAAAGGGAAGAGACAGUGCACUCAACAUCCCAUUAACAAUUUUGUGUCUUAUGAAAAGUUGUCUCCUAAAUAUAAGGCAUUUGCUUCAACGUUGAGUAACAUUCAAAUUCCCAAGAAUAUCCAGGAGGCACUUGCUCAAUCUAAGUGGAAAAAAGCGGUUCUUGAGGAAAUUCAUGCACUUGAGAAGAAUAAUACUUGGGAAUAUAUAGAAUUGCCAGCUGGGAAGAAAUUGGUGGGAUGUAAGUGGGUCUUUACAGUUAAGCACAAUGCUGAUGGUAGUGUUGAUCGUUUCAAGGCAAGGCUGGUUACUAAGGGAUUCACGCAAUCAUAUGGUAUAGACUACGAUGAAACCUUCGCUCCGGUGGCCAAACUAAAUUCCAUUCGGGUGUUGCUCUCCCUUGCAGCUAACUUGGACUGGCCCCUACAUCAAUUAGACAUAAAGAAUGCCUUCUUGAAUGGGGAAUUGGAGGAAGAAGUCUUUAUGGAGGUUCCACCGGGAAUUGACACUAAAGAGAGCUUCAACAAGGUAUGCAAACUCAAGAAAUCCCUAUAUGGCCUAAAACAAUCACCUCGUGCUUGGUUCAAGAGGUUAACAAGGGUCGUUAAGAAGCUGAAUUUCAUUCAAUGUCAAACAGAUCAUACAAUGUUUGUCAAGAAGUCAGCUGAAGGUAAAAGAGCAGUAAUGAUUAUAUAUGUCGAUGAUAUAAUCCUAACUGGUGACAAUCUGGAGGAGAUUGAAAAACUGAAGAAUAUCCUGGCAGAAGAAUUCGAGGUUAAAGACCUAGGUCAACUCAAAUACUUCCUAGGUAUGGAGGUAGCUCGAUCACGAAAAGGAAUUGCAAUUUCCCAACGCAAAUAUACUCUUGAUCUUUUGAAGGAAACUGGUAUGCUUGGGUGUAAACCAGCUGACACACCCAUGGAUUCUACAAAUAAAACCGAGAUGGAAGAAGAAGGACCAUUAACGGACAAAGGGAGGUAUCAAAGAUUAGUUGGCAAACUAAUCUAUCUCUCGCAUACUCGGCCAGACAUUGGUUUCGCAGUAAGUAUGGUUAGUAGAUACAUGAACCGACCAACAGAAAAACACAUGCAGGUAGUUUUUCGAAUCUUACAAUACUUGAAGAAAAAUCCUGGAAGAAGGCUCUACUUUAAGAAAACGGAAGAGAGAAAUGUAGAGAUAUUCACUGAUGCAGAUUGGGCUGGAUCUCUCAUGGAUCGAAGGUCGACAACAAGGUAUUGUACCGUGGGGCAACAUGGUUACUUGGAGAAGCAAGAAGCAACCUGUUGUUGCUAGGAGCAGUGCUGAAGCGGAGUUUAGAGCAAUGUGUCAAGGAAUAUGUGAAGGCAUAUGGCUGAGAAGAAUAUUAAAUGAACUAGGAUUCACUAAAACCAAUCCUAUGUCAUUAUUAUGUGACAACAAAGCUGCUAUUGAGAUUGCCAAGAACCCGGUUCAUCAUGAUAGAACAAAGCAUGUGGAGAUCGAUCGACAUUUCAUCAAAGAAAAACUUGAGGAAGGAAUCUUGAAGCUCUCGUUUGUUCCGACCAAUUAUCAAACAGCGGAGAUACUGACCAAGGUUUUAUCCAAAAAUAGUUUCGAGACUCUAAGGUGCAAGCUGGGUAUGAUAGACAUUCAUAACCCAGCUUGAGGGGGAGUGUUGAAAAUCAGAAUGAUUUUCUGGUUAUUUUGUUUCCAGCUUUUCCAGAUUUUUCAGAUCUUUUAGAUUUAGAUUUUCUAGAUCUUUCAGAUCUUCUAGAUUUUCCAGAUUUUAUUUUUCCAGAUUUUAUUUGUUAGUUUUUAGGAAUUUGUUUACUAGCUUUUUAGGGUGCUGUAGCAACUAUAAAAAUGUUAGUGUCUCAUGUAAAUAUUAAUUCUCUGUAGAAUAAAAAACUCAGAGUAAUUUCUCUCAAAAUUCUUCAAGCAACAUUGUCUAUGUGUCCUUGGAACAAGCAUAAGAUAUUAUCGACAACCGCAAACAAUCUGCCACAGAGGGUAAGGCAUGUCAAAUCUUGAUGUGGAAUGAGCUGAUUAAGAAGCAGUACCACAAUUUCCAUCAAUUACCAAUCCAAUAAAUUUCAUUUUCUGUCUUUCAAAAUGAACUAAAGACUCGAGUUCCACUAUCUCCUUUAGGCUGAUAUAUAGAACCUUUCAAAAUAUCACAAUAAAGUCCACCAAAAAUCAGUUUGAUCUAACCAUUGCCUCUCCGAACAACGAAAUCAUAAUUUUUUUUUUGGUUAAAGCUACCAUUAUCAAGAGAUGGAGUGGGUAUUUGAAUAGAAGAAAGAUAAACUUUAUUCUUUGACCAGGUAAUCAGUUUUUAAAUGGGUUUCGGCCUGCAUGGUUCGUUCAAAAUUUAGCUGUUUCAUUUGCAUAUUCAAACGCCCGUUUUCAAUUUAUCCUUCUAUCUAUACAAUAACUGUUAUGGGAAGAAAGAAAGCUUCUUAUUUUGAAUAUCGACCUGAACAUGUUAAAAGGAUAUUAUCCCACCAAUUCACAUACAGAAUUUCAUAUAGUAUAUUUUGGCUAGGCAUGGCCUACAAUAUAGUUACUAAAAGCAAUUAUGUACUCAGAGUCAAAAGUACAAACUUUUAAAGCUAUUGGGAAAUGAUACUGCAUAUUCAAUGUUAAAAACUUGUGAUUUCUUUGGCUUGUGAUUUCUCAUUGGUCUUUUUUAUUGUUGCUAUUAUGGAUGCAUUUGAAAUUGAUUCCAUGGAGUAAAAGCCAUGCCAUUUCAGUCACUGUCAAAAUCUGCCAUUUGUUUUGCUGUUCUUUUGCAUUAUAUAGCUUGGCUCUCUGAUAAUAUAUCUCCUCUCAGUUUGUUUUAUUGAAGGAAUUCCAUCUAGGGUUCUUGUCUAUGAUUAAUAUUGUUCUGGUGGAAUUAACUCCAAAUGAUGUAGAUAGGUGGAAUACACAUAAUUUGGAAAUGAGAUGUAAGCGUCAUUGCAUGAUUGCAAAACUAAUGUAAUGGUAUCUGCCUUUCGGAUCAGUUUCAUGGGGUUGUUUUGUUCAAAUAUGGCCAUAUGGUAAUUGGCUCAAAUAUAUAUAAAAAGUAGAUAUGUUUAUGUAAUAAUCAUCAUAAUGUUAAUAAUCAUCAUAAUGUGAUUAUAAAUACAUAAAAUGAAGUCAUGGGCUUUGGCUUAAAUUAUUGAUUUAUUAUGCCUUAGAAAGCUGAAAUGUGAUAUACAGACAGAUUGUAAUGGAGUGAUAUGUGUUAUGUGCUCUGGCCUGCUGAGGUGAUGUCACCAUUUGAGUUGUUAAAUGUGUUUUGUUUCACAUGAUCAUGCUGCAUAUAUAUAUAUAUAUAUAUUUUGAGGGAGUGUGAGGGAAAAAGGACUUGGUUAUAUUGAUUUGCUGAUUAGGUGAUUUGCAAUCUUUCAAAUCCAAUUUGGUUGUUUUGGUGUUUGUAAUGUUGAAUGCUUAAAGUUCAUUAUAUUGGUAUUGCUUUUGAAACAUGUACAAGGUGGAUGUUUAGUGUCAUCUAUCCAUUGGCAAUAAUUUGGUCGAUAAUUUUUUUUCAUUUUGUGUAAGAAUCUUACUGUAGAAAUGGCUGUAUCGGUGUCUAGAUUUAAAUGUUCUGUGAUUCCAGGUAAUUUCAGCUUCACCGAGAAAAUUAUGGUAAAAUAUGCUGGAGCUGGUGCGAUGUAGUUUGUAUCCAAGAACCUGAAGAAGAAGUACAAUAUUACUGAUGAACGUGCUGCCCUCUAUGAUGCUGUGGAGACAUGGGUUGAUGCCUUAAGUGGCAGGGAGUUCUUGGGUAUGCACUCUAGAUAUGGAAUAGUUGCUUGAAACAUGCUUCUUUUGAUAAUUAUAUCAGUCUUUUACUCAUCUACUGACCUCUGUUGAUAGAUUGUGUAUUUAAUAUUUUCAGUGCAUGUAGUGUAGUCAUCUUGCAUUCUGCAAGACUGUUGUGAGGUAACUACCCCUCCCAAUAAAAGGGGGUUUUUUGUGAAAGCAGGAAGAUUUUGUGAUUUUACAUUUCUGGAUCAUCCUUGUCACACUUCACCUUGGAAGAGCCGCUGGCAUUUGCAUAGAUUGCUUUACUUGCAUCACUGGUUUUAUUUGUUCUGCACCUCACAUAGCUAUCCAACUCUUAACGGGUUCCUGCUUUAUACUAAAAAUUGCACUUGGUGAAAUUCUGUAAUUGUUCCUACGAGGCAACAAUCAAUUCCAUCUUUUAUAUUUUUUUUUUCUAAAUUUUCGAAUAAAUACUCUGAUACGUUAUUGAAAGAGUAGUAAAAUGUUCAUUUAGUGUUUGCUUUCUAGAAUAAUUCAUAUAGUGGUAAAAAAAUAAAACAAUGUCAAGUAUUUUAUCUGUCCACCCAGUGACAGUUAUUGACUUUAUUAUUGGUUCCUUACAAUGAUGUGCGUAAUGAAAUUAUCGCGCAGGAGCAUAGUGCAUGCAUACAAACUAGUUAUUCUUUAAGCCGGGAUGGCUUCAAAGAAAUGAGUAUGAUAAGGUUCAAAAUUAUACAUUUGUUAAGCAAGAGAUGUUAAUAGAUCAAUUUCUUAUGAGAAGAUUUUUAUUAUGUUUAUUAGCCUUGGGCCUGUAGAGAUGAUGGACAAAGGUUCUACCUUCUGAGAAAAUACUAAUGAAAGCAUCUCCACUGUGAGCUAUCGGGAUAUUAGACAAUUUGGUGUAUAGAUGAUGUCUCCAACCUACAUUAAAAAGUUGGGAUGGCAUGUAGGCAAUAAAAGAUAUGCUCUCUUAUUCUUGAAAGUAUUGGGAAAUUCAUCCUUCGCAAGAUCUAGGAAAUGUUCAUUAUUUAACGAUUCUUGAAGUGUGAACUUAUGGCAUGAUGCUUUGUGUUGCCGACCUUUUGAAGGACAUUAAGAUAAUGCUUGAGGUAAAAACCUUUUAUACGACUCAUAUAAAGCUUUUAUUGAUAUAGCUGUUGGUUGACAGCUUGAGAAAAGGUUAAUGCGCAAAAGGUUGUCUGUGAUCAUAUGCACCUUGUUCAUAAUAAUGUCUGCACUUUUGUGGUGAAGAUGUUUACUCAUCAUAAUAUCUGCUGUUUCAGGGGGCUCAAAGCCUAAUUUGGCCGAUCUUGCUGUCUUUGGUGUUUUAAGACCGAUCCGAUAUUUGAGGUCUGGUAAAGAUAUGGUGGAGCACACUCGUAUAGGGGAAUGGUACUCAAGAAUGGAGAGUGCUGUGGGAGAGUCCUCAAGGAUUAAGGCUUGAACUGGAAUCCUGUUAGAUUCAGGAGCAUGCUUUCUGCUUUUCAAACUGAUGCUCGCUAAUUGGUUCUGUAUCCAAGUAUAGCCACCUGUAGAAAAAGACGAGUCCAUAUCAUUCUUGAUUUUUUUUUCCCCAAGAUUUAUGACAUUUGGUGGUAAUAUAUGUAUUACCAAAAUUUUGGGAUUCUUUCAUCAUUGUUUCACUUUGUAAUAAACGUCCAACCAAUACGAAGGAAAGGAGGUGAUUUAUAUACACGAUUUUUCAGGACUGCUACAAAAAUGGUCGUUUCUUGUGUAUAAGCUGUUUUAUCUGGUUUGACUAUUGCCGGAAUCCUGGAACUGCGUCUAUUUAUGUUAUGAAAAAUGAGAAAUUCGUUUCCUUUCUUCUGUUCUUGGGCAAUCCGCUAAUUUUAACUCCCACGUUUUUGUUCCGGCAUAUGGGUCUGGAGUUUGUAUCAUCGACGGUAUGAGACAUGAAUGGAUAGGAACAGGGACUCUUAGAUUGAUAAGUCUUUUACUUGCUCAUAUGAUGGAUCAUUUUAUUGAUAAGAUGACACUGCAUUUAUAUGUAAAUGCCGUUUUAGGUAUGUCCUCUUGGUGAGUUUCUGGCUGAGUCGUUAAUUUUCAAACAAGUUCCAUUCUUUCCAUAUGGAUAAGCGAGUUCAAAUUCCCGUGAAAGCGGUCCCUUUUGUGCGGCGCUAACCCUACAUUGACCGAGUUGGUGCCGCGGCAUGGCAUUUGGGAUGGGGGCUGCAACGCCUGGGAUUUGAAUUGUGCUCGAAGAUGAAAAUUGUCUUUCCUGGUUAAGUCAUGUGGUACAGGUGAAAUGCAGAUUCAGUAGACAGUGGUCCUGGGAAGGUGCUAGUCUAGUAAUCCUUCUUGAUGAAGAUAUUGUAUGUUCUGCAUCGUUUCAAUUUUCAUCAGAUGCUUGGGAGACUUCUACGCAGGAAUGUAUUAGAUCUGCAUCGUUUCAAUUUCAUCAUAUGUCACUAAAUUUAAUGUGCUAUAAAUGGUGAUAUUCUUGUGUUUUUAUAAAAAUUGAGGUGUUUAAAAAUUACACGAAGCAUUGCAUCUUAUAAUUUGUAAACAGCUAAAUCUCUUGUCAUUAUAUGUGUUCAAAAACUUACAUAAUGGAUAAAUUUUUUAGAAAAAAUAUGUUGGAUUACUGAUAUUUUUAGGUCUGAUUUGCUUAUUUUGUAAAUUGAAGUCGAAAGAGUUUGGUAUUAGUCAAAUUUCAUGCAUUAAAUGUGGUCCAUGUCCAUCACCUUUUACUCAAUUAAUCUAUACGUUAAGGCCCCCAACCUACGGGAAGCUGAAGCUAUUUUCUUUUUGUGCCAAAUCUUCCUCUAGUUUUGUACUUCAUUGAAACUUAAGAGAUCAUACUGCAGAGACUGAGUAAAAUAUCUUUAAGUCUACAUCAAAAUCUGGGAGAAAGUGGAUAGUGAGUCUACAUAUAGAUAGGUGGAGACCUGAUUGAAGUGAUGGAUGGUGCUCAUAGUAUACUCGAUGUGUAUGGAGAUCCAUGAACAUGUUGAAUACGUAUUUUGUGCAGAAGAAUUAAACAAAAAGAAGUGGACAUCAAGAAUUUUUCUAAGCAGGACUGCUAGAUUAGCUGUGCAGCCUGUGCUAUGUAGAUGGUACAUCUAUCAAAACCAUUACUUAUGUCAGAAAUUUUAGUGAGAGCUCAUAUGUCAAUAAGAUGAGACUGUAAUUAUUUCAUCUACACAGGUUUUUAAAAUAACAAGAGGGGCAUAGCCAAUGCGAAGGUCUAAAGAGGUCUCUCCAACCAGAAUGGUCAGGCAAAGUGUUUGUUUGUUUGUUUGUUUUUUUUCGGUUGUUGUUAAUCUGCAAUUUGACGUUAGUCAUCACAUUGAAAGCCAUUCCAUCUUGCUUCGUGUUAAGUUUGUAUUGGCAUGCAUCAAGUUCCCUGUGACUGCCUUGAAAUUGCACAAGAGUUUGCCGCUUUGGCCUUAAUAUCUAAGAUGCUAUCGUUCUGUUAUUAAAGUUCACAUGACCCUUCACAAGGCGUUGUGUAAACUUGAUUUCCAUAUGAAAACCAGCAUGCUCCAAGUUAUGUUGGUUCACAUUUGUUCUCAUAUAACAAUAUCAUCCCGGUCUGAUUUACCAGUAGAGAUUCUAUGCAAAAAAACAUUAUGUUGAAUAAACUCUGCAUGAUGGCUUAGACGAAAUGCCAGAAAGAUAUUACUGCACAAAGCAUGAUCAGGUUCUGUAGAGGCUUGGUUUUAUAAGCAACAUAUACAACUGCAUAAAACAAUGUCAGACUCUCAACAUAGAGUAACCAACCAUUAGAGCUGGAAAAUUGUCAAUGUAUGAGAAAGGGUGACUGGGCUAUAAGCAACAGAAGGCCAUUCAAUAGCUAAUGGCCUGGCCAAAAAAGGGCCACAAACCAUAUGACUAGGCAGUGCAAAGGACCAGUUCGCAGCACUCCCAACUCUAGGCAUGUUGGACUCCUCAGUCUCUGCACCACUUUGAAUGUGGUGCCGUGCACUUGGCCUGAGCUAUCUACCCUAGGAACUGGCUUCACCUCAUUCGGUGGGUGCUCAUAACUCCGCAAACCUCCAGAGCUGGUGAAGAAGCAUCCUGAGUUCAAAAAAGAAGGCAAUGUUAAAAGGUGAAUGAUUUGGCGCUUGAAAACCAUUGGAAGAGCAACAUUGUAGGUUAAAAUGCACAUUUCAAAACAUGCAUACAGGUAAAGAACAUCACUUUAACCUUAGAUUAUAAAUUUAGGUUCAGAACCAAUUUUUCCAGUAUGAUGUUACCCAACAACAUAACAUUCUCCCCUGAACUCUGCUUAAUAUCAGCAGAGCUCAUCCAUCCUUACUUUUCACAUUGCAAUGCAUGGACUGAGCUCCAAUGGAGCCAUAUCAACAAACCGAAAAAAUAAUUACCUUUAGGGAAUGGUGUGAAAGAUUUCCCAAAGCCCAUCUUCAGGACUUCUGCAUCAUCUGAGAGAACAAGACUGCCUCCAGAAUCAAUUCCCCAGAAGAAAGCAACACUUCCAUCAACAUCCUGCAUGAUUCAGAGAACGGAAAGGAUUAGAUAUAGAUCGCAGGUGGAGGGAGAGAUUGCGAGCGAUACACAGAACGAAAUCAAUGAACAUUAUUAUUACUCACAGAGGCCUGAAAAGCGGUUUUAGAAGAGCACAAAACCAAACUUCCUGCUGAUGUCUCUCACAACUUGAUCAGCAGGGUAAGGCCUCCGAUCCUUCAGAGUUCAAUAAGCCUCUAUGACGAUAAUGACCUCAUUAGAGGUUUUAUUCCAUCCAUAUUGCUGCUUAAGAAGCAACAUUGUCUAUGUGUCCUUGGAACAAGCAGGAGAUAUCAUCAACCGCAAACAAUCUGCCACAGAGGGUAAGGCAUGUCAGAUCUCCAUGUGGGAUGAGCUGAUUGAGAAGAGAAGACAGUACUGCAACUUCCGUCAAUUAACACUCCAAUAAAUUUCAUUUUCUGGCUUCAAAAUGAACUAGAGACUCCAGUUCCACAAUCUCAUUUAGGCCGAUAUAUGGAAUCUUUCAUGAUAUCACAAUGAAGUCCAAAAGAAAUCAGUUUGAUCUAACCGUUGCCUCUCUAAACAAUGAAAUCACGAUUUUCUUUUUUUGGGUGUGGCUAAAGCUACCAUUAUCAAGAGAUAGAGUGGGUACUUGAAUAGAAGAAAGAUAUACUUUAUUCUUUGAUCAGGUAAUCAGCUUUUAAAUGGGUUUCAGCCUGCAUGGUUAAUUCAAAAUUUAGUUGUUUCAUUCGCAUAUUCAAACCUCUGUUUUCAAUUUAUCCUUCCAUCUAUACAAUAACUGCUAUGGGAAGAAAGAAAGCUUCUUAUUUUGAAUAUCGACCUGAACAUGUUAAAGGAUAUUAUCUAACCAAUUCACAUGCGGAAUUUCAUAUAGUAUUUUUUGGCUAGGCAUGGCCCACAAUAUAGUUACUAAAAGCAAUUCUGUACUUAAGAGUCAAAAGUACAAACUUUUAAAGAGAUUGGCAAAUGAUACUGCAUAUUCAAUGUUAAAAACUUAAAGACUCAUCCUUCCAUAAGCCCUAAUCAAAAUGACAAACGAGGGUUGCUGUUACUGUGAGUACAUCCUGUGUAUCAGCAGAAAUCCUCUCUUCAUCCUUUUUUGCUUUCUCUCUGUAACAAAGCCUCAUUUUAUGUUUUGUAAGGUAAUGUGAUGUGAUCCCAUUGAACCACUCUUGGCUGAUGAAAAGAACUAAACUCACCUGACUCAACAAGGACUGAAAUAUCUUCUUAUGAUCCUGGAAAUUCCCACGGAAAGGCACCACCUUGCCUUGAGAAACCAUCCAGAGCUUGCCAUGCUUCUAGAUAUUGGAUGCUCAUUGUCACCAACCUGCAAAUCAAGGUAAAAAGAUGGCUAUUAGCUGUAAAGACGAUCCAUCAUUGGUCAAAUUGAAGUAUUUUGGCAAAAAAAUCAAUCUCACUGUCAGACAUCUUCCUUGGAACAAGACCAGACCUUGAAUGACUGCCUCAACCGCAUCCAAAUCCUGCAGUUUGGGAUAGUAAAAAACGUAGAAUCAUACUCAUCAAUCCUUUGACAAGAAACGAGGAAUUUGCAGAUAAACACUUUAGAAGUCAUAGGCCAUUAAAGUAGAACUUAAAGUCCACAUUUAUAAACAAAGAAAUUUCCACAUUAAUUAUGUGCAAAACCCAAUGCUGCCUAUAGGAUAUGGAACUACUUGGUAUUAUAGAUUAUUGUAAUACAAAAACACUGAUCAUGCUAACAUACAUGUUUGAUUUCCAAUAAUUUGCCAGUUGGACAAUUAGAUUGGUUUCUGUUCCAUUAUAAGUUAGAUUUAAGAUGGCAGAGGCUCCCUGUUGUGAUCACUAAUAGGUUCCAUUGUAUUUUCAAUGUAAAGACCAGAUUCCUAUAAGUUCAAUUAGUGCAAGAGCAACAUAACAAGCUAACUGAAAAAGUAAUCAAAGUCACAAAACGGAGAAAAAUGAGUAAAACUAACCAGAUGAUCGGAUGGUUCACAAGCAAAAGUAUGUGAGGUUUCUUGAAAAAUGCAACACUGCUUUUCUAACCACCUAUUUAUAUGGGCAAAGCACCAUGUUAUAUGUGCAAUAACAUCCAAAAAGCCUCAGAGAAAGUACACAGUGAACUGCAAUUUAGUUUACAAAUUAACCAACCUCUAAUAGAGUUUCACAAUCUCACAUGAAAGUUGCUUCAACCAAAAAUUUACAUACAAAACAGUAGCAGAGAGGGAGGAGAUGUACCAGACAAGGUUUGCAUUCGUUGAAGUGCAAGAUUUCCAGUUACACCAGACAAACGCAAGUGAGCUCGAAACUUUUGUUCCAGAAAUCCCUGCAGGAAGAAUGCCACAUAAGAAGGUAUUUUCAGAUAAAAUAACAAAAUGUAAGACAAAAUAAUAUUCCACAAUAGAGUCAACACACACGACUGGUACUUUAAAGAACUGAAUAGAUUUGCCCCAGAGGUCACUGCUGACAACACAAUCACAGAAGCAGGUAGCAUAUCAUUUCAAUCUCAACCAAACAAGCAUGAGUAAAUUGGCUAAAUAUUUCUUGCAAGCUUUUAGUAAUAUUUCCUAACCCACCAGAGAUCAAGACCCAAGCGGAAGGUGAUUUAUGGAAUAUCAAUGCUGUCAUGAAUUGGUGUGGCAUUGAAAGGCUGGAGCCAUGAGGUGCCCCAGAAUUUUAUCCCAUAUUGACUGGUUAAUACUACGAAGGAUUGUCAUCAACAAAGGUUCUCGAUGAUAAAGGAAACCAUUGAAAAAAAAGAAGGAAGUGCAUCCCUUUUCUUCACAAUCAUAUCACAGCACCCACAUAACUAAUCACUGUUUUUAGAUUUUAGAAAAGAUUAUCUUAUUUAGAUCGUAUUCACUAGAAGAAAAUUUAGAACAUCUCAAUGCACCGAAUAAAAUUAAACGCUUCUUUUUUUCUUUUAUUAAAUUGCAAAAAGUGACACUUAACAUUGACAGCAUUAGCCCCACCUCAACAGCAUUCACAAGUGAUCCUUCCAAGAGAUUUUUCCAGUACAGAUCACAGUGGUAUCUACAAAGCAACAACAGUGAAUGAGCUUAAGGGCAGGAGAAAAAAGAUGUUGGGAAGAGAACAUACAACAAACGCUGAAAAUUCAGAGGAAUAUGAUUGUGAAACUCUAUGAUUCUUGGUGAUUCUCAUGCAAAGCAUAGUGCAUUUUAAUUCGCAAUUUGUUUGGUGGGUCACUCAAGUGCAAAAAUAAGCACAGGUUUUGGGCAUCAAGAAGAGUUCAAGAUAUGUCAUCAAUAUAGCAAGAUGCAGCUUUGUGAACAUGUCGUUCUGCAUACGUCAAUCUUUCACCUUCAGCAGCUGGUUUUCAAAAAUUUAUGUGAAAAAUCUGAACGAGAAAAAUCAGUUUGUAUCAAGCAUCGAAUUGAGGAACCGGCUUCCCCUUAUUUGGUGGGUGCUCAUAACUCCUCAAACCUCCAGAGCUGGUGAAGCAGCAUCCUGAGUUGGAAAAGAAGGCAACGUUAAAAGGUGAACGAUUUGGCGCUUGAAAACCAUUGGAAGAGCAACAUUGUAGGUGAAAAUGAACAAAUCAAAACAUGCAUACAGGUAAAGAACACCAUUUUAACCAUAUAUUAUAAAUUUAGGUUCAGAACCAAUUUUUCCAAUAUGAUAUUACCCCACAACAUAACAUUCUCCUCUGAACUCUGCUUAAUCUCAGCAUAGCUCAUCCAUCCUUACUUUUCACAUUGCAAUGCAUGUACCGAACUCCAGUGGAGCCGCAUCAACAAUCCAAAAAAAUAAUCACCUUUAGGGAAUGGUGCGAAAGAUUUCCCACAGCCCAUCUUCACGAAUUCUGCAUCAUCCGAGAGAACAGGAUUGCCCCCAGAAUCACUUCCCCAGAAGAAAGCACCACUUCCAUCAACAUCCUGCAUGGUUCAGAGAAUAGAAAGGAUUAGAUAUAGAUUGCAGGUGGAGGGAACGAUUGAGAGUGAUAUCCCAGAACGAAACCAAUGAACAUUAUUAUUACUCACAGAGUCCUGAAAAGCGGGUUUUAGAAGAGCUGUCGAAGAGCACAAAACCAAACUUCCUGCUGAUAUCUCUCACAACUUGAUCAGCAGGGUAAGGCCUCCGAUCCCUCAGAGUUCUAUAAGCUUCUAUGACAAUCAUGACCUCAUUAGCGGUUUUGUUCUAUUCAUAUUGCUGCUUACGAAGAGCUACAUUCUCUGUGUCCUUGGAACAAGCAGAAGAUAUCAUUGACAACGGCAAGCAAUCUGCCACACAGGGUAAGACAUGUCAAAUCUCGAUGGGGGAUAAACUAAUCGAGAAGAGAAGACAGUAGUGCAAUCCCCGUCAAUUAACAAUCCAAUAAAUUUCAUUUUCUGGCUUUCAAAAUGAGCUAGAGACUCGAGUUCCAAUAUCAGUCUGUAUUACGCAUCGAAUUGAGGGAGCAGAAUCAAAAUUGAUGCCUUGAAAACCAAAAACAUACCCGAACCCAAGAAAACUUACAUUACAUCAAAGAAUGAAUCCCGGCAGUUAACAAAUCUAUCAUCAUGGCUCGGGCAUGAUCGAUUUUACUUCAUUGGAUCCGAAUGCUAUCAAUGCUGAUGAAAGGGAUUUCUUGAAGGGAGAGAGAGAGAGGGCCAUCCUCUGGCAAGUACCCCAACUUCACAUCCAUAUAUGAAAAAAAAUUGUCGGGAUUGAGGCCCAAACAGAAACAGAGGAGGCUGAAUUAAUUGUUGUUCGAAAGAGCAUUGCAGUGGCUAAAGAGAAGAGCCGGCCCAAGGUAGUAGUGGACAUGGAUGCAGCUGUGGCAUACAAGAAUAUCAUCAUCAUCAUCAUCAUCAACUUUCGCAAGCCAGUGCACUUGGAGACUAAACGAAGCUCUUGCUGGAUAUUCAAGCAGCUAAUUAUCAAUUUUUCAGCUCUGAAUUUCAGUCGUACUUCACGAAAAGCAAACGUCUGCGCGCAUCGGAAGAAAUUACUUCGUAUUAAGCAUCGAACUAAAGAACAGAAACACGAAAUCGAUGCAUUCAAGACGAAAGGAAUUACCUGAACCCUUACAAAUCUGACCGUAGAUGGAAGGGAUUGAAUCGCGGCAGUUAGCAAAUGAAAGCGAAAGUGGAUCGAUUUCACUUCAUCGGAUCUGAGAACCCAAUCGAUGCGGAUGUCGAGGAUUUCUCGGAUUUCCGGAAAUUCAUGCGGAGCAUCUCCACGGGAAAGUAUCGAUUUGUAUUGAGCAUCGAGUUGAGGAAUCAGAAUGGAAACCGAUGCCUUCAAGACCAUAAACUUACCCAAACCCUAGAAAACCUGACCGAACCAGGUUUAUUGGAUCCGAACGUCAUCAAUCUCGAUGUAAGGGAUCUCUUGGAUGAGGGGCCAAUAGUCGCCCGUGUCUUUUGAGCAUCUAUCUCUCAGAAUCUCGCAUCUCUCUAUAUAAAGUUCUUGGAGGGAGGGAGGGAGAUCAUCCUCUGGCAAGUCCCUCAACUUCGGGCAAUUUACAAUCUCUAAAGAUUCGAGAGAGGAGAGAUGGUUGCGAAGACCGUUUGAUAAUCUUUCCAUGUUCCUCAUAUUAUAAAUGGAAAGUUGCACAAGAGAGGAAGGAAAGAAAAGACUCCAAGCAUCCUCGUCGUCUUCUUCCGAAGGAAACCCCACCAUGUCUCCCUCCGCUCCUAUGCAACCUCCGUCUAUAGUAAGAUUAGUGAGGGAUGUGAGCAUGGGCAAGCCCCAUUCUCUCAUUGGUUGCUUCCAAUUAUCGCAGAAAGUAACAUUAAACAAAAGCAAAUUGGGAGGAAAACCUCCUUCGGGCAAGCAUUUGAUAUUUUCACAAUCCGCAAUGAAUAUCCACCAGAGAGACAUAAGAUGAUGCCACUCCUUUGGUAGAGACUUCAUCUUAGGAACAUGUACAAGGGUAAGGUGCAUGAGGGUGAUGGGAAGGGAAGGGAAGUUUUCUAUCUCCAAUGCCGGACACUCCUGUAUAUCCAAUUUAGUGAGAUGGGAUAAUGUGAGAAGGCACCUUGGUAGACUUAUCAAAUUCUCACAUCUAUCUAUAGUUAAAGAGCCCAGCGAUUCUGCUAUGGCAAACGGAAACGAUAUCAAAGAAUCACAUUCACUCAUAUUAAGAAAUUCAGGUUGAGAUAUCGAAUUAUUGUUGCUAUGGUCAUCUUGAGAAGUUAUUAUUCUCGAGAUUUUUGGACAAUUCUCAAUCCUCAAAUGUCUUAGUGUGUACAACUUGCUUGGAAGCUUUUCUAAACUCGUGCAAUUUCUCAAUUCCAUCUUUUCAAGGUUGCAGGAUAGCUCCAUUUCUCCGUCUCUAGCCACAAAAGAUGUGAAUUGAGGACAACUAUCAAUGGCUACACUUUGAAGGCAAGCAAGAUUUUGCAUCUCAUUUCCAUUUUGCCACAAGUAGUUUAGCUUGUCACACUGCCUUAUAUAAAGCUCCUUUAGCUUAACCAAGUAGCUCGUAAAGCCAUGAUCAAAGCAAACAAGUUCAACAAGAUUCUCAAUUUUGAGACUGAUCAAAGAAGUUAGGUUGGCGAAGAUUUUUAAGAUCUCUUUGUUACAAUCCUUAAGGUAUAACUCACAAAGAGAUGGGAGGCAAAUCACUUUGGUUGAGUUAUUCAAAUGCGGGCAUGAAUGAAUUUCAAGCUUCCUGAGAAGAUCAAGUUGACCAGGCAAUGUCCCAACCAAUGAAUGACAACUCCGAACAACAAGAUGCUGAAGACAAGAGAAUGGGACAUCUUCUUCUCGACCCCCAACACAAUGAGACCANNNNNNNNNNNNNNNNNNNNNNNNNNNNNNNNNNNNNNNNNNNNNNNNNNNNNNNNNNNNNNNNNNNNNNNNNNNNNNNNNNNNNNNNNNNNNNNNNNNNNNNNNNNNNNNNNNNNNNNNNNNNNNNNNNNNNNNNNNNNNNNNNNNNNNNNNNNNNNNNNNNNNNNNNNNNNNNNNNNNNNNNNNNNNNNCUAUUUUAGAAUAAGAAAGACCAUCCAACCAUGAGGGGAAUCUUGCACCACCAUAAUGCGAGAUAGAGAGACGUUCAAGAUUAGUGUGAGGUCGUAGAGAGUCAAGCACCAGUUCUUCGCGCUUCCCAUUAUGCAAAUUUCCAAAAUUUUCACCCCAAUCCAAGAAUAAGUUGCUAAGGCCUCUCUUUCCAAAUAAAUUAGCAUCAACCGCAUCUCUGACUUCUUCUACCUUUUGCAAUUCUGCUAUGAACAAUUCUCCUUGAAGAUGUUGCAAGUUCUUUAACUCCUUUAAUAGCGACCCUUUCUCUGGUCCUACUACAAACUUGGGGAAGAUGAUUAUAUUCUUCAAAUUACUCAUACCCAAAGGCAUCUUUUUGAGACUCCCUGUAUCUCUAAUGUCAAGAAAUUGUAACCUGACCAAUUUUGUGAUGCUUGUAGGCAACAUAGAAAGCAUUUGACAACCUCUUAAGAUCAAAGCUUGUAAUUUGCACAAGGCGCCAAUUGACUCAGGUAGCCUUUUGAUAUUGGUGUAUGAAAGAUUGAGAUAUCGAAGAUGUUUUAAAUCACAGACACAAUUCGGUACCUCUACGAUGUUACAAUGGCAUAAUGAUAAUACUCGCAAGUACUUCAAGUUUGUUAACAAGUCAUGCAGCACCUUUCCAGAAAUAAAAAUUCCUUUUUUAUCAUUAAAUUGAAUAGUCAACAGCAUCAAACUUCUUAGUACCUUCAUUGUAGCAUAUGCUCUCAAGCUUUUUGACGUAACACAUUGUGAGACAAAUGAUGCACAACGAGCUUUCUCUUUAAAAGUGGCAUCAUCUUCAUCACUCACUACCUGAGACUCCUCUACCAGAGACUCCCUAGAGGUAAAGCAUGUCUUAUCCGCAAUUGACUUCGCUAGAUCAUUCAAAAGAUCAUGCAUCAAAAACUUCGAUGUGUCAAUAUUAGAUUGUUGAAAAAAGGAUCUAGAUACUAACUCAUCGAAGUAUUUCCUUCCUGAUCUCAAGAUAUUCUCUUUUGCUUUUCGUCCAUCUAAAAAGCCCUCCGUUAUCCAUAAGAGCACCAGCUCGUCCCUCUCAAAUUCGUAGUCCUUUGGAAAUACUGCACAAUAAGUAAAACAUCUUUUCAAAUAAGAAGGGAGAUGGACAUAACUCAAUUUCAAAGCUGGAAGAACCUCAUCGUUUUUUGCCGAUGCUACAUCCCACAUUCUGUUAUUUAAGAUAUCUUCCCAUUCAUCUAGAUUCUCUUUAUUACGUAGGAGACCGCCCAAUAUCUUCGCUGUCAAAGGUAAACCUCUACAUUUUUCAGCUAUUUUCUUGCCUACUAUUUGCAGAUGUGGGUGCCUCUCGAAAUUUCUUGCUUCCAAAGCAUGAUAAGCUAAUAAGUCGGUACAAUUAUCAACAGACAACUCCUUCAAAGAAUAUGGCGAAGCUCCCGUUAUGGAAACCACAGAAUGGUUGCGUGUCGUGAUGAUGAUCUUGCUUCCCUUAGCCCCUGCUUCAAAUGGCUUUAAGAGGGAAGUCCAUUCUCCAUACUUCUCAUUCCAAACAUCAUCUAAGACCACAAGGAACUUCCUUUCGGAUAGAUCAUCUUUCAACUUAACUUGCAGCCAAUUAAGAUCUUUGCCCUCGCAAGACAACCCAGUGAUCGAUUGUAAAAUAGUCUUCGUUAUGUGGAGAACAUCAAAAACAUCUGAAACACAAACCCAUGCUUUCCUCUCGAAAUAGCUACUCAUUUUGGGGUCAUUGUACAGCCGUUGAGCCAUGGCCGUCUUUCCAACACCACCCAUCCCAACUAUGGGGACUAUGCUUAGCCUAGCAUCAGAAUUUUCGACCUCACUGAUUAAUAGUUCCAAUAUCUCUGCUUCUUCCUUCUCCCUGCCAAAAAAUCGAGUCUCCGGCAAAGAAGUGCUUUGGAGCCUUUUGUUGGUGUGGUUGGAUAUGUCCACAGCAUUCUCUCUUAAGCUUAGAUGAGCUUUCCUGGUGAUAAUCUUUUUCAACCUACCAUUGAUUUCUUGUACCUUAGUUUCAAACAGGUUCAAGCACAGGUUCGAGUUCGAUCCGGAGGAUCCAUCUUGGCCAAAGAAAAGGGAACAACCUUUUCUUUUGACCUUUGCUUGUGCUGGAUUCUGCCCCGGAACAACCUUCAAUCAUGAACUCAUCAAGCAAGUCUUCCAUGUCAUAGGCCAAGUCCCUAACAUCAUCCAACCACGACUUCACUAGACGGUUUUCGCCUAACUGCUUGUCCUCUGCAUCAUCCAACACUAUAUUGAUUGUUUCCAGCAUCCCCUUCCACUCAUCGAGUGGGGCGAUGCUGAUUCCUUCUCGUUGGGCAUAGUCCAAUCCCAAAGAAGCAAACUUGCUCAAGAGGACCUCAAAGAGGGAACUCGAAAAGAUCUCUCCAAUGGCCGUGGGUGAAUCAGUCUCUGAAAAGAAAAACAAGGGCAAUGAAGAAGCUAAAUGACAGUGAGCUAAUGGAGAGAGAAAACUAUAAAGUCCAAGAAGACCAGAAUUGUUUGCCUACCUAAAAGAUCGAACAAAGACGAAGACUUUUAAGGACGAUUUCUGUCCACAAGUGCUCAUUUCAUCUCUUCCAUUCGUAUUUUUUUUUUUUUUUUAUAGUCAAAGCCCAAAUAUUUGUAGUUUCCACAAUCAUAUUUUCAUUCAUGUAAUUUAACCAUAAACUAAGGAAUACCAAGGCUUUUGUGGACAUCAUGUUUUUUUUUUUUGGUCUAGAAAGUGAAGCAAAAGUCAAAAGGGAAGGCAAUAAAAUUCAAGAAGGUCAAUACUUUUUAGGAUGCAGAUGGCUUUGUUGCUUACAGGUAAAACAACAUCUAGAACUUGAUCACACAAAAUAUCCACAACAAAAAUCGACAUCCGCAAAAGUAUAAUAUUUUGAUGAAACAAAUGGUGCAAUAAAAAGGAAGUGACAUUGGACAUCUAGAAUAUGCAAUCUCAGCAUGUUCCUGAUUGGCUAACCCCCUGAGAGAAAGGAAGCAGUUUAAGGUCAUGCUCGGGACCGAUAUAUUGAUCAAGUUCUAGAUGUUAUUUUAUUUGUACCCAUGGCUUGAUUUAAAAGUUAAAUAUUUUGAUGAAAGAAACGGUGCAAUGAAAAGGAAGUGAUAUUGGACAUAUGGAAUAUGCAAUGAUGCUCACCAUGUUCCUGAUUGGCUAACCCCCCGUUGAUUGUUUAAAAACACAUCAUAUGUUAAAUUUUGAUAAAAUAAUUUGGGAAUAUGUGAGGAUCUAACGUAACCAUAGUAGCAGUGUAGAUUAAUCGAGACAGACCGUGUGAUGAUGGUGGGCCUAUUGGAUUUGUUGACGCCUCUGGAACUGGCGAAUGAACGAUUGUUGCCUCAAAAAUGUGAGAGUCGCUUGAAUGCUGUAAUGCGGUCGAGGGAUCAAUGACCAUUGGAGUUCGCGAAGGAAACUGACGGAUAUCAUUCUCAUUUUCCUUGUCAGACGUUAGGGGAAGUUGACCAGGAUGCUGGACAGUGUUCGUCGAACUAGUAUUGCCGCGUACAGGAACCACUUCGUCUAUACACGGUUGACCACAAUCCAGCAAACGAUUUGCGCCGUCCACAUCAAGGGAUGAAACAAUUUGUAACGAUGAUCCCACUGUUGGAUUAUGCAGUUCAUUUGUUUGUAUUUCCUCAAAAGUGUUUACAAUUGCCUCACGAGAUUCGGGAAGAUUCUCCGGCAGCGAGUGGUCAAGAUUUGACCAAUAUGUUGGAUGUAGCAGUGAAUCUGGAGUGAUUCCAUCUGCAAUAUGUUCAUCUAAGCUUAGAUAUUCUGUGACAGACAUACUGCUGCAAUGGACCUCAUCAUUUGGGGAUGAUGAUAGCCCUCUUGCAUUUUGUUCUUCCGUCUCUGAUUCAAGAUGAGUAGGUAGCUCAAGAAGCGUUUGUAGCUCACUAAAACCAAGACAAGAUGAAGCCGACGAGUCCAUCGGAAGUUGCUGGAUAGAUGAAGCAUUUUCAUUUCCAUGUGCUACAUCCGACCUUCGGUUCGAUGGAUCGNNNNNNNNNNNNNNNNNNNNNNNNNNNNNNNNNNNNNNNNNNNNNNNNNNNNNNNNNNNNNNNNNNNNNNNNNNNNNNNNNNNNNNNNNNNNNNNNNNNNNNNNNNNNNNNNNNNNNNNNNNNNNNNNNNNNNNNNNNNNNNNNNNNNNNNNNNNNNNNNNNNNNNNNNNNNNNNNNNNNNNNNNNNNNNNNNNNNNNNNNNNNNNNNNNNNNNNNNNNNNNNNNNNNNNNNNNNNNNNNNNNNNNNNNNNNNNNNNNNNNNNNNNNNNNNNNNNNNNNNNNNNNNNNNNNNNNNNNNNNNNNNNNNNNNNNNNNNNNNNNNNNNNNNNNNNNNNNNNNNNNNNNNNNNNNNNNNNNNNNNNNNNNNNNNNNNNNNNNNNNNNNNNNNNNNNNNNNNNNNNNNNNNNNNNNNNNNNNNNNNNNNNNNNNNNNNNNNNNNNNNNNNNNNNNNNNNNNNNNNNNNNNNNNNNNNNNNNNNNNNNNNNNNNNNNNNNNNNNNNNNNNNNNNNNNNNNNNNNNNNNNNNNNNNNNNNNNNNNNNNNNNNNNNNNNNNNNNNNNNNNNNNNNNNNNNNNNNNNNNNNNNNNNNNNNNNNNNNNNNNNNNNNNNNNNNNNNNNNNNNNNNNNNNNNNNNNNNNNNNNNNNNNNNNNNNNNNNNNNNNNNNNNNNNNNNNNNNNNNNNNNNNNNNNNNNNNNNNNNNNNNNNNNNNNNNNNNNNNNNNNNNNNNNNNNNNNNNNNNNNNNNNNNNNNNNNNNNNNNNNNNNNNNNNNNNNNNNNNNNNNNNNNNNNNNNNNNNNNNNNNNNNNNNNNNNNNNNNNNNNNNNNNNNNNNNNNNNNNNNNNNNNNNNNNNNNNNNNNNNNNNNNNNNNNNNNNNNNNNNNNNNNNNNNNNNNNNNNNNNNNNNNNNNNNNNNNNNNNNNNNNNNNNNNNNNNNNNNNNNNNNNNNNNNNNNNNNNNNNNNNNNNNNNNNNNNNNNNNNNNNNNNNNNNNNNNNNNNNNNNNNNNNNNNNNNNNNNNNNNNNNNNNNNNGCUGACCAGAUAGACUUGAUAUCGAUGCAAAAUCCUUGAAUCCUCUUAACAGAGCCGAACCACCUGAGUUCUGUAUGCCCAAAGUACAGAGAUCUCUCUCCUUCUUUCACCAGGAACAAAGCACAAGUAGAGAGAGAUGCACUAGAUCUACACAGAGGAGAAUAACAAAGGAAAAUUGGAUUAUACUUAUCAAGUAAAGGAGGAGAACUUCUGGAUUAUCUAAGCAGCAGAACACGCCUUGGAAGGAGAAUCUCAAGCGGCACUUACGCAUUAAGCAUGGAUCAAGAGGAGCAUCAAGAGUACAGGGUAAUGGUCUUCCACAUAUUUGUCGUCAAAAUCAUGCGGCGAGCGCCGACCCGCUCGGGGGCACGUAGGCAACGAGGCGACCGAAAGGAACCGCGGCGAAACCGGAGAAGCGAAAACCGGAGGCCCCGCAAGAAAAGGCGCUCGAACAAGAUGUGAGGGAUCUGCGGGAAUAACACACGGGAGUCUCCUCCUCUCUCCUCCUCUCUCCCUACCUCCUUCCCUUUCUGGUCUCUUGUCUCUGUUGGGC